GUUUGAUGGAGGUUUUGACCUUUGAGGUUUCGCUUUCGUGGGAGUCCAUGUUCUGUAGCUUUGCAUUUGUUGGUGUACAAAACGAUGUUUUGUUUAUAAUUGGCGAGGGAUUGCUUGAUGAUGGGUGUUCUCUGAAAUGGUGUCAUGGAGGGUGUCUGUCUUUUUGUGCUUUUAGUUUAGAAACUGUGUUGUCAUUGAUUGUAAUUUUAAAAUUUAGAAAUUUCAUUUCCUGCAUGUGUGUGUAUGUAGGUGAAUAUAACACUGUGCUUUUGUGUUUUUAUUUGAGAAGCGACAUAAACUGUUGUUGAGUGGAUUUAUAGAUAUAAUUUUGUUUUUAAGAAUGUUCUCGUUUGAAAGGUGCCUGGGAAUGCAUUGUUCGUCUCACAAAACAUUUGUACCUUAAUAAAAGGAUACAAUGCCAAUGAACCUUAUGAACUGAUAUUUGACACAGUUAUCUACUACAUAAUGGGUUUCACAAAUACAAGUUCACCAAAAAAUUUGAAGAUGAUUUAAAGAAGAUUUCAAGUUAGUAAAUCUUAGUUUGUCUCAACAAGUGAUUUAAAAGAUUUUUUCAGUGUGCAUUAAUUAAGUUUUUAAAUUUUAUUUAACCCUUACAAGAUGAUAUUCAAAACUCAAUCACCAAAAUUUGAUGUUUUUGAGGAAAUCUGAAGGUUAACAAUAUCUGUAAAGUGUUAUUUAUUUCUUUAAUUCUACCCAUUAAGAUUUGAGACAAUUAAUUAAAAUCUAAGUCACUUCAUAUGUAAUUACAACUCUCUUACGAAAUCUACCUAGAAAAUUGCACUUUCUUCCUUCUAGAAUUCCAAAUUUACAAACAAUCAAAAUUUUCAAAAUUAUAUUUUAUUACACAAAAAUAUUGUGAAUAGAAACUCAAUAUAACUACUCCUUACAAACAAGAACAUUCAUAAAAACAAAAUUUCAAAAGACUCUUUAUUUUUGAAAUUACAUGAAAAAAAAAUCCUAUUUUCUUUCAAUAUUAUUUUCUUGUUAUAUACAACAUCAAACCAACUUCUUUUAAAACUGCACAUUAUGCUGUAAUUCCAAAAUCAAAUUGUAGGAUUAAAUUUCAUCUUUUGAGUCUUUCAACAAGAUACUAUAUGCAUGGUUUGAAGAUGUUUUGAAUUCAAAGGUAAACACCAAAACACGUAUAUAUAUAUAUAUAUAUAUAUAUAUAUAUAUUUAGAUUUGAAAUUUAUACAAAAUAUUUUGGCAAGCCACAACUUUACUAUUUUUAAAAUUGAAAAAAAUAUAUUCCGUAGUUGGUUCACCAUUUUCUUUUUUUUUUUCUAUUUAUCAAUUCUUAGCAUUUAAAUUCCUUAUUUUCAUCUAAAAAAUACCAAAUUAUAGCUUUAAGUAUUUUGAAUCGUUAGAAAUUCAUUGUGGAUUUAAAACUUCAACAUCAAUACUUAGUAGUUUUAGUUAUUCUAAUUGGAAAAAAUUAACUAAUAUCUUAAUUAAGGAUAUAUAUAUAUAUAUAUAUAUAUAUAUAUAUAUCAUUCAAAAUUUAACAAAUGAUAUCAUCAACUAAGAAUAUAUUUUCAAAUGAACACAACAGUAAUUCAAAUCUAAGUGAUGUAUUAAUCAAUGGACACUAGCAUUCACGUUUAUAAUUUGACUAUAAUCAAUUAUAUAUAUAUAUAUAUAUAUAUAUAUAUAUUUAUUGAUAAUUUUAUUUUUAUAUUUAAUUUUUUCUGUUUUUCUUAUUUUUUUACUUUAUUUAUCUAUUUUUUAAAAUUCACAAGUAUCCAUAUACAAAAUUUAUGAAAUUUUUACCAAAGUUCGAAAAAUAAUAAUGAAUGUUUCGAAAGCCUUAUUCUCAUCUACCUGUAUGAACAGUUUGAGUGUAAGAAUAUCUUGUAAAAUUCUUUAGAAACAUUUUUCAACAACUCAACAAAAGUAAAGUUCAAGCAUAUAUAGAUCCAUACUGUAAAAUUUAGCAUUGUAUAAAAUGUAAUCAAUGUGUCAGUGUUGUAAAUUAAGCAAGUAAUUGUGUAUGUUACAUAUUUUAUAUCAAACAAUACAAUGUAUUAUUUAAAUAAAUCAUUGACAUUUUUACAUAAUAACUGAAUUAAAAUGCAACAACACAAUGUGAGAUAUAACCUAAAUAAAUAAAUAAAGUAUAUAAUUAUCAUAGAAGUGUUGAAAGUAUUCAAAUUUUUUAAGAUAUCAUGAGAUUUUCAAUAAAAUCAUUAAAUGUUUUAAAAACAAUUUCAUAGUACCAAAAAAACAAUUAGCUUGACAAAGCCAUUUCCUUGUCUAAUUUAAUAGUUGAAUUAAUCAUAAAUCUCUUACCUUAGUUUAGAGAUUAGUGUAAUAGAUUAUUGCAUAAAAUUUAUAGAGAAUUUAUAGUAUAGAAGGAUUUGUUUUCAGAAUAGUAUAAUAUGGUUGAAUCUAAGUUUGAGUUAAUAAAAAUAAUCUAAAACAAAUGAGAUUAUAAUUUUUAAUUCUAUGUUUUAAUAAUAACAUUUAAUUCAAAUACAAAAAUUGAAUAUCAAAUAUAUAUAUAUAUAUAUAUAUAUAUAUAUAUAUAUAUUGAAUGAUAUUUAGUAGUAUGGUGACAUGAUAAUAAUAAUGGUAAUAAAUUCUUGUUUUUACCCUCCAUCCCCCAACUCAACUCCCUUCUUGUCUCCAUUUUUAGCACCCAACUUUCAUUUUUGUUCCUUAUUAUUGUGAAGGAUGCUUUUUAUAUUAAAAAAAUCAUGUCCAAAAAAUUAUUUAUGUUGCAUUGCAAUCUUCUAAUUGCAAUUAAAAGUUAAUGUAUUUUUUAUUUUAAAACAUUAUUGAUUUAUUUGAUUAUAUUUUGUGUACUCAUGAAAUCUAAAAUUAUUUAUUUUAAAUUAAAAAUAUACAAGUCUUUUGAAAUAGACAUCAAGUAUAAAAUCUAUAGCUCAAGGCUUUGGAAUUUAGGAUUGAUUUUUUGAGUAAAAAACAUGAGUUGUUUUAAAAGUUGUAUAUCAUUUUUUAUAAAAUGGAGAUAAGAGUAAAGAAAAAAUAGAAAGGAGGGAAGAUGAUGGGGGAGGAAAAGGGAGGAAAGGAGGAAGGAGGAAAAAAAAAAACAAAACAACAACAACAACAACAACAACAACAACAAUAACAAGAGGAUCAAGAUAGGAGAUGGAAGUGAGAACAAGGGAUUAUUAUAGACAUGCAUAUUUAUUUAUAUUAAAGGAAUUAUAUAGAAGUUAGUAGAAAUAGGUAAAUUUGAUGAUAUUUUAUAGAUAAGCUAUAUACAUGCGGAUUUGACUUUUUAUGUAUUUCAUUAUUUCUUUAAAAAUAAUAGAGUAUCUUUUUUUAUAGAAAUUUUUGUUUGAUAUUAAAAUUUACAAUUUAGCUUCUUCUAAUUUUAUUGUGGAUUUAAUAAAAUAAUCUAUUAUAUAAAUGAAUAAAUAAUUUAUAAAUGCUACACUUAGUAGAAGUGAAAAUUGAUUUGUAGCUAAUGCAAAUCUUCAAGAGCUUGUCAAAAUUCUUAGAAUAAAAAUCUCAUAUAUUUUCAACAUCAACCAUGGUAUUACUAUUCUCAUGCAUAUAAAAGAAGUCAAUAAUGUUUAAUGUCUUUGUUAAGAAAUUAUAUAAUUAAAAAAAUAUAUAUAGAUUUAUCUCACAAUUGAAUCUAAAAAGUCUUACUACUACAAAUAUGAAGGAACCAAAGAUUAAUAUACUGGAAAAUUUGAUGGAACAAGAAUAAAAUUUUGAAGAUUUCUAUAAUAAGUCAAGUUCUAUCUAAAGUUAUAUCCUUUCCAAUAUCUUAAUGGAUUUAUUCAAGUUGAAUUAAUAAGAAAAUUCCUAUCUAGAAGUAUUUUUUUAUUUAUUAUUUUUAACUUUGAUAGAAAAGGAUUCACAUCUCUAUAAAAUCUAAAUUCAUUCAUGGAAGUAUUUAUGACCAUAUUUGAAGAAAGUGGUCAAAAAAGAAUAUUAGAUAUCAAAUUCCUAGCUUUGCAAUAAAGAUCACAAUCAACAACCAUAUUUGCUAUUAAAUUCAAAAACCUUGCUUGCAACAUGGAUUGAAAUGAUAAAAUUCUUAUAAAUAAAUUUUGAUAUAGAUUAAAAGAUAAUGCCAAAGUUUUUUUUAUUGACAAUGUUAAAAUCAAGCUCAUUAGAAUAAUUUAUUGCUCAAGCCAUUUCAUGAAAUUAUAACUUUUUGAAAGAUGCUAAAAAUAAAAAUUUAAUUGAAAAAAAAUAAGUUAAGUCAUGAUAAGAAUUUUUUAGUUUUUAUAUACUUAUUCAUCAAAGCUAAAACCUAUGUAAAUUAAUAUAAUAUGAUUUAAACAUCUUAUUAAGUAAAAGACAAUUCAAUGUUAUUAUAAAAGAUAGAACUUAUAUUAUAAAGAAACUAAACACAUUAUUCAAUAUUGUCCAAAGAAGCAAUACAAUCAUAGAAUUAAAAAAAUAAUUACUAAAGAAGAUAAUUUAUCAAAAAAUAAGUUUGAUAAACUAUAAUAAUGACUAUGUAAUUAGAAUCCUAAGCAUGUUAGGGACAUAGUCCUUAGAACCUUCUAGAGACAAGUUUCUAGAACCUUUUAGAGACAAGCUUCUAGAACCUUCUAGAAGCAAGUCUCUGGAACCUUCUAGAAGCUUCUUAGUUGGUAGAAGAUGUUAGGGACAUAGUCCUUAGAACCUUCUAGAGAUAAGUUUCUAGAACCUUCUAGAAGCAAGUCUCUGGAAGCUUCUAGAAGCUUCUUAGUUAGUAGAAGUUGCUUGAGAAGCUUCCUAAAUAGGAGUAUAUAUUGAAAUCGAGGCUGAAGAGUUCUUCAGUCUCGACAACACAUCUCUUGGAGCUCUAGCUCACCUCUUUGGUAUUGUUCUUGUAUUCAUCUGAUUAAUCUAGUUCUUGUCAGUUCUUCUUGAACUUCUUGGUAGAUAUCAAGUCUGUAUUCUGUGUCCGUGACAGUUUGUCAAGACUUCACUCACCUCAGAUAUCAGAGCUAGUUUCUUCUUUGUUAGAGUGUGGAUUACCCCUCUGCAUGGAAGUGUACUAGCACUUUAAAGGUUGCAGAUUACCCUCCUCUAAACUGGUACUUCUUUUGUUACAAUAUUGGAGUCUUAUUCUUCUUGGAGAGAGUGGAUUACCCCUUUUCUUGAAGCUCCUAAGGCAUUUUAGAGGUUGCGGAGUACCCUCCUCUAAACCAAUCUUGUCUUCUUAUAGAGUCAUUUCUGUCCUUCUCUUAGAAUGGUCGGGAGCCAAGAUAUUAGUAUGACGGAAAGUUUAGAGUCCAAGUUAGAUGCUAUCAUGAAUGCCCUCGCUACGUUAUCGCAAAGAACUGCAGAGAUUGAAGGAGUCGUGGCAAGGCUUCAUAAUGAUGGAGCAUCUGGGAUGGCACAAUCUAGGUUGCACCAGCCUCAAACUUCUACACUUGGAGAAGCAACUUUACCUCAGGUUCGACAAGCACCUCUGGUUCUACAACAUAAGGAAUCCCGAGUUAGUCUUCCGGACAAGUUCGAUGGUACACGUUCCAAGUUUCGAGGAUUCUUCAACCAAAUCACGUUGAUAACAGUUUUAUAGCCUGAACGCUAUCCAACGGAGGAGUCACGUGUUGGGCUUGUUGGAACCUUACUUACAGGACAAGCUCUAUCAUGGUUUGCUCCUUUGUUCGAGAAAUGAUCGUCCAUACUAAACAACUUUGAAACCUUUUUGGAGGCAUUUGCGAAAGCAUUUGGUGAACACGACAACGUUCGUUGGCCUACAACAAAGAUCCGGUCACUACGACAAGGGAUACGUUCUACAUCAGUCUAUGCAUCGGACUUCAGGCAAUUAGCAUGCAACAUCAAUUGGGACGAAGAAGUGUUGAUGAGUCAAUUCUAUUGGGGUUUAAGGGACAAUGUGAAGGAUUUGCUGUUAAUCCUUCCUCAUCCACAAACGCUCAAUGAAGCUAUUAGCCAAGCUGUGAAGUGCGAUAACCGCCUAUUCCAACGUCGCCAAGACCAACGUUCAAGACAACAUACAGUUCGCCACACCCCAACUAUGUCGGCAAGCAGCAUGAAUUCACAUUCAGAGAUAGAAGUCGUGCAAAUUGAUGUGGUACGUGUCAAAUCUCUUACUCUAGAAGAAAAAAAAGCGACGUAUGGAGGAAGGUCUAUGCUUAUAUUGCGAUGAAGAAGGCCACAAAGUUGGAAACUGCCCUAAGAAGCGAAAUCGACGUAUUAUCAAGACUAGGGGCGCGUUUAUUCAGGAAAACGAGAAUGCCCAGCCACAAUAGGAACCUUGCGGCUGGACAGUGAAAUAUCGCAACAACAACCAGGUUCCUUUCUUUCCGCUCAACCUGCCCUUUGUUUUACAAUCCCUUUGCUUAUUGGCCCUCAGAAACUGAGAACCUUAGCAUUAUUAGAUUCAAGAGCAUCUACUUGUUUCUUAGAUGAAGAAUUUGCAAAGCGUCAUAAGAUUCCUUUAGUACAAAAAUCCAAACCUGUUCACAUUGAGGUCAUAGAUGGACGACCUUUAUUGUCUGGUAGUGUCACCCAUGAAUCACAACUUAUAGAAGUGACGUUUAAAGACCAUAGUAGUCAUAUUAUUUUCAAUAUUAUUAGAACUCCAUCAAAUCUUGUUAUUCUUGGUCUUUCCUGGUUGGAAAAGCAUAACCCAUCCAUAGAUUGGAAGUUGCGGAAGAUGAACUUUUCCACAAAACCACCCAAGAGCAAGCCUAGUAGAAAACCCCGAAUAGAGAAAUCUUUAUUUAUUGGAGCAAGAGCGUUUAUAAGAUUGUCCAAGGGAGACACACCAUUUGUCAUUUAUGCGGCUCCAACUACCGGGGAGAAGAUCUCGACAGCAAGUAUACCGGAGCAAUAUAAGGAUUUUAAAGACGUGUUUCAAAAGAAAAAUGCCCACAUGCUACCAGAACACAGACCAUAUGAUUGCACCAUAGACUUGCAGAAAGGAGCACAACUGCCUUUUGGCCCAAUCUACAAUCUAUCGCAGACGGAAUUGGCAGAGUUGCGGAAGUACAUCGAUGAGAAUCUAGCCAAGAACUUCAUCCGUCAUUCAAAAUCGUCAACUGGAGCACCCAUCUUAUUUGUGAAGAAGAAAGAUGGCUCAUUGCGGAUGUGCGUGGACUAUCGAGGCCUCAACAAGGUAACAAAGAAGAAUCGUUAUCCGUUACCCUUGAUUUAUGGUCUCUUAGAACAACUUGGACGUGCAAGGAUCUUUACAAAAAUUGAUCUAAGGGGAGCUUACAACCUCGUACGAAUCAAGGAAGGAGAUGAAUGGAAGACAGCAUUCCAUACAAGGUAUGGCCAUUUUGAAUAUAAUAUCAUGCCCUUUGGUCUUACCAAUGCUCCAGCGGUCUUUCAACAUAUGAUGAAUGACAUUUUUCGAGAGUACCUUGAUGAUUUUGUUGUCAUCUAUUUGGAUGAUAUUUUGAUAUUCUCCAAAAAUGAGGAAGAACAUGAAAAACACGUUCGUUUGGUAUUGGAGAAACUACGCAAGCGAGGACUAUAUGCCAAGUUGGAGAAGUGUUUAUUUCACCAAAUAGAGAUGGAGUUUCUUGGGUUCGUUGCGACUACGGAAGGCUUGAAGAUGGACCCCAAGAAGGUGGAAGCAAUCGUGUCCUGGGAGGUUCCAAAGACGGUUAGAGACAUACAAUGCUUUCUUGGUUUUGCCAACUUCUAUCGGAUCUUUAUCAAGAAUUACUCUCAAGUUGCUACUCCUCUCACUCGGUUGACAUGCAAGGAUAAGCUGGAAUGGGGACCUCUAGCAGAGAAGGUAUUUCAAAACCUGAAGACCGCAUUUACUAUGGCUCCAAUCUUGGUACAUCCAGACUUUACAAAGGCCUUCUAUUUAGAAACUGAUGCUUCGGAUUUUACUUUGGGAGCUGUACUUUCACAAAUGAGAGAAGACAAGAAGCUCCAUCGGAUUACAUUCUAUUCUCGAAAGUUCUCUGCUGCUGAAAUCAAUUAUGAGAUCCACGAUAAGGAACUUCUUGCUAUAGUGGAUUCUUUCCAAGAAUGGCGUCACUUUCUUGAAGGAGCUGCACAUCCAGUGACCAUACACACAGAUCACAAGAAUUUGGAGUAUUUCAUGUCGGCUCGAGUUCUAAAUCGACGUCAAGCUCGAUGGAGUAUGUUGCUAUCUAGGUUCGAUUUUAUUAUCACUUAUCAACUUGGAAAGUAGCAACGACUAUCUGAUGCCUUAUCAAGGAGAUCAUAUCUUGUACCAAAGGCUGGAGAAGCAGCGUUUGAUCAACAAUGUACGACAUUGUUGAAGCUAGAGCAAUUUCAGCUUUGCGCUUCUAUUAUGCCAAUUGAUGCUGACUUCCUGAAUCAGGUACGUACCGUAACCAUUGAAGAUUCAGUAGCCAUUGAUAUUAAGCAGCGUGCCAAUGACGACAAGUUCAAGGUGGAGGGAGAUCUUUUAUACUUUGAAGAGCGGUUAUAUAUCCCAAAAGGACCAGCACGACUCCGAGUUCUUCAAUCUCGCCACGAUUUUCCAACUACGGGACAUUUUGGAUUCAAUAAGACCUUGGAGCUUAUUUCUCGAGAUUUUUGGUGGUCCCAAAUGUGGAAGGAUGUGAAAGAUUUUGUCUUCUCCUGCGACAUUUGUUCAAGAUCCAAGAAUCCUCGGCAUCGCCCUUAUGGACUCCUACAACCAUUUCCGAUUCCACAUCGACCAUGGUCUUCAAUUUCCAUGGACUUCAUCACGGACUUGCCAUCAUCGAACUCAUUUGACAGCAUCUUUGUCGUGGUAGAUCGGCUUACAAAAAUGGCACACUUCGUCCCUUGCAAGAAGACAGCGUCCAAUGAAGUCACAGCAAGGCUCUUUCUCGAUAAUGUGUAUCGAUAUCAUGGACUAUCAGAUGAUAUCGUAUCAGAUCAAGGAACCCAGUUCGUAUCAAAGUUUUGGAGAUCUCUCUUUGAGAUACUGAAGGUGGAUAUCAAGCUUUCUUCGGCUUUUCAUCCUCAAACUGAUGGUCAAACGAAACGGGUGAACCAAGUCUUGGAACAAUACUUACGAUGCAACAUCAACUAUCAGCAAGACGAUUGGACCAAAUAUCUGCCGCUAGCCGAGUUUGCAUAUAACAACACCCUCCAUGCGUCGACUCAAUACACACCAUUCUUUUUCAACUAUGGGUAUCAUCUAAAGCUUGAUUUAUUGAGUCCAUCAACAAAUAACAAUCCAACAGCUGAAGGAUUUGCGAAACAACUAUCAGAGCUUCAAAAUACGUUGAAGCUUCAAUUACAAUCCGCUCAAGAAUCCUACAAGGCGUCUGCAGAUAGAUUUCGGAAUCAAGCACCUACUUUCAAAAUUGGAGAUAAAGCAUGGCUUCUUCGACGGAAUAUCAAGACCAAGCGACCAUGUGAUAAGUUGGACUAUCGAAGAUUGGGACCAUUUAUCAUCCAAAAGCAAAUCAAUCUAGUGGCAUACCGUCUGGAAUUACCGGCUUCUAUGAAGGUACAUCCAGUCUUUCAUGUUUCUUUGUUGGAGCCUUAUCGAGAGUCGUCUUUUCCUGGAAGAGUGCAAUGUCCGCCACCUAGUAUUGAGAUCGAGAACCACGAGGAAUACAAGGUUAAAAAGGUACUGGAUUCUCGGUGAAGGUGGGGCAAGUUGGAGUAUCUUAUUCAUUGGUGCGGCUACGACAUUAAUGAGCGAACGUGGGAGCCUGCUGAAAAUCUCACCAAUGCGCUGCAAAAGGUAGAGGAGUUUUAUCAACAACAUCUUCAUAAACCUAAGCCGAUUCGACAAUAGCUUCUUUCUGAAGCUUGCUCACCCAAGAAUAUAAGAAAGGAGAAGAGCACGACCAAAAUUCGUAGUUGAUGUAGUUAUUUUCUCCAACAUAAAAUAGAAUUUUUUCAGUAGCUAUAGUUUGGUCUUUUGAUAUGUGUAGCCAAAAGAUAGAUACUAUGCCAGUCAGAUUAUCUCAACCAACUAGUUCACGAAGGCGACCCCGAGAUGAAGAACCACCUGCACCACGAAACGAUGGAGGAUACCAAGUAACCGAUCACUGGUGAUUGUAUUUGAGUCCGAGCCUGCUUACGAUGGUCAACCUAAAGGCAUAUUUGCAGGACAAUUUUACAAUAAAGACACGGAAGUUCAUGCUUGGUCAGAAGUUGAAGGAGUGGGCCACUACCAUUGGCUUCAAGGGCCGAUGAACCACUUACCUCGUGAACAACAGUUGGAGUUCAUAACAGACGUUAUGCGACAGAUCUUAAUUUUUUUGCGUUGGUACUGAUUGACAACAACAUUGCUUCUAGGAGACCUCGAAGCUAAAAGAGGGGGUGAUGUUAAGGACAUAGUCCUUAGAACCUUCUAGAGACAAGUUUCUAGAACCUUCUAGAGACAAGCUUCUAGAACCUUCUAGAAGCAAGUCUUUGGAACCUUCUAGAAGCUUCUUAGUUGGUAGAAGAUGUUAGAGACAUAGUCCUUAGAACCUUCUAGAGAUAAGUUUCUAGAACCUUCUAGAAGCAAGUCUCUGGAACCUUCUAGAAGCUUCCUAAUUGAUAGAAGUUGCUUGAGAAGCUUCCUAAAUAGGAGUAUAUAUUGGAAUCGAGGCUGAAGAGUUCUUCAGUCUCGACAACACAUCUCUUGGAGCUCUAGCUCACCUCUCUGGUGUUGUUCUUGUAUUCAUCUGAUUAAUCUAGUUCUUGCCAGUUCUUCUUGAACUUCUUGGUAGAUAUCAAGUCUAUAUUCUGUGUCCGUGACAAAGCAACACCUAAUAAAGGUAAUUUGUUUUUUACAAAUUCUUUACUUUAUUUUACAAUAGAUAUUUGUAUAAGAUCAAAAAAUUACAAAGCUUUAGCCUUCUUAAAUUUAAAAUUUUCAUUUUUUUUUAUAGACAAAGACUUUAUUGAAAUUUAAGAAAUACAUUUAAUUAAAAAAAUUAAAUCUAAAUAUAUAGAAGUUAUAGAUAUUUAUUUUUUAUCUUCAAAGGAUAUUAAAUAUAAAAUUAUUCUUAUAAAUAAAGCAAAUAAUUUUUAUAAAAGUUUAAUAAUAUUUAAUAUUAUUAAAUAUCCUUCUAUUUUAAUUGUUUUAGAUUUUAUUAUAUCUGAAAAAUCAUAAUCUUUAAAUAGACUAAAUUUCUUAUAAUCUAGAUUUUUUCUAUAGUAUAAUUCAAAUUUUUUUUACUAAAAGUAAAAAUUCAUAAGUCUAAUAUAACCAAAUCCUUAUUGAUAGGUAUAAGAACUUUCAAGCAUAUUGCAAAAGAUAUGUUAUUUUUUUUAUUUAUAUAAUAUCCAUUUUUUAUGGUAGAAAAACUUCAAGUAACAUUCUAAGUUAGUGUAAAGAUUAUAAAGAUUUUUUUGAAUAUAUAUAUAUAUAUAUAUAUAUAUACAUAUUUUUUUAGAGCAUUAUCCUUAUAAUUGUUCAAUUGAUCUUUAAGAAGGAACUCAACUAUUAUUUGAACCAAUCUACAACUUAUCACAAAAUAAAUUAGUUGCACUCAAGGAAUAUUUUGAUGAAAAAUUGACUAAGAACUUUAUACAUCAUUUAAAAUCUCUAGUAGGAUUUCUUAUCUUAUUUGUUAAGAGAAAAUAUGGAUCACUAUAGAUAUGUAUAAAUUAUUGAAGAUUCAACAAGAUUAUUAUUAAGAAUAAAUAUCUUCUAUUGUUGAUAUUAAAACUACUUGAUUAAAUAAAUUAAGCAAAGAUCUAUAUAAAGAUAGAUCUAUAAAGAGCAUAUAAUUUAAUAUACAUUAAAAAAAAUGAUGAAUAGAAGAUUAUAUUUUGAAUAAAAUAUGGGCAUUUUGAAUAUAAUAUCAUGCCUUUUGGACUUACAAAUACAUUAGCUACUUUUCAAUAUCUAAUCAGUGAUAUUUUUUAAGGUUUAUUAAAUAAUUUUAUUAAUUUUUAUCUAGAUAAUAUUUUAUCUUAAUCUAAGUAUACAAAAAAAACAUAAACUUUAAAUUUUUUAUAUAUAACAAAAUUUAGAAAUAUAUGACUAUAUACUAAGAUAGAAAAGUGUAUAUUUUACAUAAUUCAAAUUGAUUUUUUAGAAUAAAUGAUUUCAAAUGAUGAUUUUAUAAUGGAUUUUAAGAAAGUUUAAAUUAUUAUGGAUUAGAGGAUUCUAAAAAAAAGAAGAGAUGUGCAAUGUUUUUUGAUGUUUAUUAAUUACUAUUAUAUCUUUAUUAAAAAUUAUUUUUAAGUUAUAGCUCUACUUAUUUUUUUGACUUAUAAAAAUAGAUUUAAGUAGAAUAAAGAAACGAAAGUAUCAUUUGAAACUUUGAAGGAAAAAAUUACUUUUCUACUAGUCUUUUAUUGCAUCAACUUUACCAAGAUAUUUUUAUAAAAAUAGAUACAUCAAAUUUGAUCUUGGAUGUAGUAUUGUGAUAAAUGGGAGUAGAUGACAAACUUCACUUGAUUUCUUUUUAUUUAAAAAAUAUUUUAGCAUCCAUUAUUAAUUAUAAGAUUUACAACAAAUAAAUUCUUAUAAUUAUAGAUUUAUUUUAAGAAUGGUGCUAUUAUCUAAAUGACCUUGUUAAUCUAGUGAACAUUUGCACAUAUCAUAAGAAUCUCAAGUAUUCCAUGUCAAUACAUGUUUUAAAUCAUCACUAAGCCUAUUGAAGCAUGUCUUUAUUAAGAUUUGAAUUCAAGUUUAUGUAUCAACUAGAAAAAUAAUAAAUUUUAUUAAUUAUUAUUUCUAAACACUCUCAUCUUAUACUAAAAGAAGAAAAUAUAGCUUUUGAUCAAUAAAAAAUAAUUUUUUUAAAGUAUAGAAAUUUCAUCUUUAAGGUAUAAAAUCAACAUUGAUUUUUAAUUCAACCUUUCUUAAGAAAAUUCAAUUAUGUCUAUCUUGAAAUUUUCUUGUUUAUGAUAGUAAAAAUAAUUUUAUUAAAUAACAUGAUAUUUCUAAGUUUGAAUUUAAAAAUUAACUUUACUAUUUUAAGUGAUGCUUAUAUAUUCUAAAAAUUGAAGUAGAAUUAUAUGUUCUUUGAGUUUGUCAUAAUUUUCUAAUUAUAUGAUAUUUUGGAUAUAUUAAGAUUUUAAAACUCAUAUGAAGAAAUUUUUGGUGGCUUCAAAUGUAAAAAUUAGUAAAAGACUUUGUAAAAUUAUAUGAUAUUUGUUCAAACCCAAAAACUCCUUGUUAUUAACUUUAUGGAUUUCUUCAACCACUACCUAUUGUCAAGGAUAUGAAUCUUGAAGAAAGAAAAUCCUCAAUACACUCUUAUGUCACUGAAAGAAACUAAAAAAUUACUUAAAGAUGAUAUAAUAUUGAACUAGAAUAGCUAUUGCCAAAAACAAGAAGACUAGAAAGUCUUAAAACAAGACUAAGGACUAGAAAGGCAUUGACAAGAGUCAAGAAGGCUUCAUUCUUGCCUCUAUAUUUAUUCUUAACUAGAAGUUAUGUGGCAAUGUCCUAUAGGACCUCCAAAACAUCUUGACUUUAUUAACCACAUGUCUAAACUUACAAGGCAAGUUAUUUAUGUAUGCGCCACAUAAUUAACUUGUUCUACAUGCUACUAUACGGAGUUGACUUGUUCUACAUGCUACUAUAUGGAGUUGACUUGUUCUACAAGCUACCAACACAUUGUUAACUUAUUGGCCAAGUUUCUAACCUACAAACACAUCUAAAGUCAAAAUCAUGUCUAUAAAGCUUCUAGGAAGCAUCUCUAAAAGACUUUAUAAAAUUAAUCUAUAUUUACUUACUUCUAAUUAAUCAUAUAAGUAACUAUUGACAUAAAUGUAUAUGUCCAUGAAAUUACCCUCCCUUCUAAAGACAAGUCUACAAGAAGUAGUCAUCAUCUUUCAUCGAUCUUUAUAAUUCUUUAUCUUAGUUUUGAUGGAUGUCGUCGAUGAAAUGCUUCAACCUUCUUUGUUGCAUUUACAAGAUUCUUUGUUGGCUCCCAUGUGUAUUCACUAAUAUCAUAUCCUUGCCAAUGAAUAAGAUAUUCUAACCUAUUUUGGCACUGCCUUGAGUCUAAGACUUCUUUCACCUCAAAUUUUUGAUUAUUAUCUACUUCUAUAGGAGGAGGUGGCAUUUUUCUUCUUCCCAAAAUAUUCACUGUCUUAUACGACUCAAGAAGGGACAUGUGAAAUACAUAGUGGAUCUUCAUAGACUCCAAUAGAUGUAAUCGAUAAGCAAUAGAAUUGAUUUUUUUACAAAUAAAAAAAAUUCUCAGCCUACGAUAGUCCAACUUAUCACAAAGACGAGUAAUCUUAAUAUUGCGACAAAGUAACCAUACCUUGUCACCUAUGUUAAAUUUUGGUUGCUUCUUAUGAUAGGCAUUUGUGUUAGUCUUUUGCCAUCUAUAGAGUCAUAUGAACCUAAGAUUAAAAGAUCUGUGGCUCUAUAUGAUAGGCAUCUACGUUAGCUUUUCAUUGAUAAUAUCUAUCUCUAUCAUGGAUUACUAAAGGAUAUUAUAUCAAAUAGAAAGACUCAAUUUGUAUUAAGAUUUUGAAAAAUCCUAUUCAAGAUUUUAAAUGUGGAUAUUAAGCUCUCUUUGGCUUUUCAUCCUCAAAGUGAUGGACAAAUGGAAUGGAUGAAUCAAGUUCUAGAAUAGUAUUUGAGGUGUACCAUCAACUAUCAUCAAGAUGAUUGGACAACUCUUUUGCCAUUGGCAGAGUUUGCUUAUAAUAAUUCAGUACAUUUUUCUACUCAAUAAACACCUUUCUUUGCUAAUUAUGGUUAUUAUCUACAACUUGAUACUUUUGACUUUUAAAAGUUGAUAAUCCUACAACGGAAGGUUUAGCAAAUCAUUUAUCAAAGCUACAUACAUCAAUGAACAUACAAUUAAAAAAAAGUCUUUGAUUUUUUUCUAUAUUUGAGGCCACUAAAAAUUUCUUGAUAUUAACUCCAAAGUCUUGUUGUAUCCAAAAUGUCCGACUGCUAGAAAAUCAUGACGAACUUAAACGACAUGUAAUUAUACCUCACCUUCUAAAAUAUAUAGGCAAUUUUUAAAAUAUAUUAGGUUGUUUUUGAAUUAAAACUUUGAAGUAUCAUAGAAUUUAGAAGAAGUAUUUUUGAUAUCAUGAAUAAGAGAAUCAGAUGACAUAUUUGAUUAAAUUUACUUGACAAAAGUUGAAUCAACAAUCAAUGUUGAUUUUAUUGCUCAAAGAUAAAAAUACUCAAGUACCAAGAGAAUUAUUCUUUGUUGAUCAAAAGAUACAUCUUCUUUUUUUGGUGCAAGAUAAGAACAUCUAAAAAGGACAUCGGAUAGACCUUGUUGUUUUUUGAAUCAAUAAAGGAUCUUGAAAUUGAAUCUAGAUAAAGACAUGCUUCAAUGGGCUUGACAACAAUUCAAAAUACAUAUUGAUAUGAAGUAUUGGAAGUUUUUAUGAUCCAUAUAUAUAGUGAUUGGACUUGAGGUGCUUUCUAAAUAAAAAUGCUAUUCUUAAAAUGAAUCUACAAUUGCAAAGGGUAUUUUUUUAUAGAUCUCAUAAUUAAGCUUGAUUACUAAAAAAUUUCUCCAAUGAAAAGCUAGUAGGUGGAGUUUAUCAUUUGUUCCUAUUUAUGACAAUACAACAUCCAUAGCAAAGUCUGAUACAUUUGUUUCUAUAAAAAAAUGCCUUAGAAAAGUCGAUGCAAUAUAAGAUUGGUGCAAAAGUAAACUCCUUCUUUAAAACAUCAAAUGAUGCUUUUGUUUCUUUAUUCUAUUCAAGUUUUUUUUUACAAGUCAAACGUGUAAGUGAAGCUACAACUUGAGAAAAGUUCUUGAUCAAGAUUUGGUAGUAAUUAGCAAAGCCCAAAAAGCAUUGUACAUCUUGUACUGUUCUUAGAAUCUUUUAAUCUAUGAUAAUUUAGACCUUCUUAUGAUCCAUCAUAAGGUCCUCGUUGAAAAUGAUAUAUCUUAAAAAGUCAACUUGAGUAAUGUGGAAUACACACUUUUCUAACUUGGCAUAUAAUCUUGUAUCUUGGAGUUUCUAUAACACAUGUCAAAGAUGAAGUUUAUGUUUUUCUAUAUUCCUAGAAUAGAUUAGAAUGUCGUCUAAAUAAUAAAUGACAAAAUCAUCCAAAAAUUCAAAAAAAAUUCAUUUAUAAGAUGUUGAAAAGCAUCUGGUGCAUUCAUGAGUCCAAAAGGCAUGACAUUAUAUUCAAAAUGUCUAUACCUAGUUCAAAAAUCAGUCUUCCAUUCAUCUCUUUUUUUGAUACAAACUAAGUUGUAUGCUCAUUAUAGAUCUAUUUUGUUAUAGAUCUUUGCUUGAUUGAGUUGGUCAAAAAGUCUUAUAAAUCAAAGACAAAAGAUACCUAUUUUUGAUGGUGAUCUUAUUGAGUCUUUAAUAAUCCACACACAUCCAUAGAGAUCCGUCUUUCUUCUUCAUAAAUAAGAUAGGAGCCUUGGCUAGAGAUUUAGAAUAGCACAUGAACUUCUUUGCCAAGUUUUCAUCAAUAUACUCCUUUAAUGUAGCCAACUCAUUCUGCAAUACGCUAUAGAUUGAUCCAAAUGGUGGUUGAGCUUUUUCUUGCAGAUCAAUUGGACAAACAUAAGGUUGAUGCUUUAAAAAAAUAUCAGCAUUAUUUUUUUCAAAAAUUUCUUAGAAUUCUUGAUAUUAGCUAGAAAUACCACUCGAUAUUUUUUUACCAUUAGAAAUAGGUAUAGCAUAUACAACAAAAGAUGACCAUUUUUUUGCAGGAUGCAUAAAAGCUCUUGUACCUAUCAAUAAAGGUUUCAAUAUAUUAGACUUAUGUGCUUUUACUUCACUAACUCGAUCUUGGAUUAUACUACUAGAAAAGUUAAAGUUACAAGAAAUCCAAUCUAUUUGAAGGUUAUAUUUUUCUAGCCAUGAUAAUCCUAAAAUAAUCAGAUUGGAGAGAGAUCUUAUUAUAUUAAAUACUACUACGAUGUUAUGAUCUUUAAUUGCUACAUCUAAAUGAAUAGUCUUAUGUGUAACAUUUUCAAAACACAACAAAUGAUCAUUCAUGACUUCUACAAGUACAAGUUUAAUUUUCUUAACUAAAGAUAUUUUUUGAUUUUUAACAAAAUCUUCGUCUAUAAAAUAGGUUGAGGCUCCUAAAUCUAAUAAGGCAAAGACUUUGUGAUUUUUAGGUCUAAACACACAUCUAUUGUAAAAUAAGGUGAAGGGUCUGAAGAGAGAAAAAGACCUUUACUAGUUGUUGUACUUGAUUCUAGCCGCACAAUCCCUAUUGUAGUUGGGGAAACUUGUUUUUUGAUACAUUAUCUUCUUUAGUAAUUUUGCUCCUCAUUUUAUAAUUGUGUUGCUUCUUUAGACAAUAUUGAGCACUGUGCUUAGCUUCUCUAUAAUAUAAAUACAAAUCCUCUUAGCAACAUUGAGUCUUUUCUUACUCCAUGAGAAGUUUAAAAUGUAUUGUAGGAAUUUGCAUUGGUUCUACCCUUAAUGAAUAUAUUUUUGGAAAACUUGGAAGUUGCCGCCAUUACUUGACUUAUUUCUUUUCAAGCAAGUCUUUAUUUUUUAUGCCUUUCAAAUAAUUGAUUGUCACAUGCAAUGACUUGUGUAAUAAAUUAUUUCAAAGAUUUUGUUUUUGACAUUAUUAAUAACAAAUCUUUGACACUAUCCUUUAACCCAUAUCAAAAUUGAUUGAUAAGUGCUUUAUCAUUCCAGUCCAUGUCGCAAGCGAAGUUUUGGAAUUCAACAAUAUAUGUGGUUGCUAAUUGUGAUUCUUGUCAUAAAGAUGAGAGUAUGAUUUCUAUUACUCAUUCUCAAUCAAUUUCUCCAAAUGUGGCAAUAAUUACUUCUAAGAAUGAAUUUAAAUCAUAAAGAAAUCAUGAAUCUUUUUCCAUCAAAGGUGCAAACCAAGAAAGAGUACUUCUAGAUCAAAAUAUAUCUAUGAAGGUGACUUGAGUAAAUCCAUUUGUAUAUUGGAAAGGGUGUAACCUUAAGUAGAGCUUAACUAAUUAUAAAAAUCCUCAAAAUUUUGAUCUUGUUCCAUCAAACUUCUCAAGCAUACUAGUUUUUGCCUCUCUUGAGCUUGUAGAAGGAAGACCUCUCUGAAUUUGGUUGUGAGACUGAUCGACUUCUUUCCCUUAAUUACACAACUUCUUGACAUAGACUCUGGACUUCUUCCAUAGGUAUAGAAGUAGUACUCCUAUAGUUGACGUUGGUGAUGCAUGAAAUUUCUACCUUAAGAGUGUUGAUAAGCUCGUGAAGAUCCGUAAUAGUUGUAAAUCUAUUCUCACUUCUACUAAGAGUAGCAUCCAUAAUCUUUCCUUCUAUAGACAAUUCAAAAAAAUCCAAAAAAUUAAAUUAGAAGAAGGUAAUCUGCAACCUCUAAUAAAAAUUUCCACAAAGAAGAGUAAUCCACUCUCUUUAGAAAAAAAAGAUCAGUAUUAGAAAAUAAGAUUUUUUGUUCAAAAGUGGGUAGUCCGUAACCUUCAAAACACAACAAUAGAAGUGGGAUAAUCCACUUACUUUUAAAACAAACCAAAAAUAAUAUAUUAGCACUUUUGUCAAAUUAUUAAGGACAUGAAUCUCAAAGAAAGAAAAUCCUCAAUACAUUCUUAUGUCACUGGAAGGAACUAGAAAGUCAUUUAAAGAUGAUAUAAUAUUAAAUUGGAAUGGCUAUUGCCAAAAACAGAAGACUAGAAAGUCUUGAAACAAGACUAAGGACUAGAAAGGCAUUGACAAGACUGAAGAAGGCUUCACUCUUGCUUCUAUAUAUACUCUUAACUAGAAGCUACGUAGCAAUGUCCUAUAAGACCUCCAAAAUGUGUUGACUUUACUAGCAACAUGUCUUAACUUGCAAGACAAGUUAUCUAUGUAUGUCCUACAUAGUUACUUUGUUCCACAAGCUACUAACACAUGGUUAACUUGUUGGCCAAGUUUCUAAUCUACAAACACAUCUAAAGUCAAAACCACAUCUAUGAAGCUUCUAGAAAGUUAUUCUAGAAGACUUUAUAAAAUUAAUCUAUAUUUACCUUCUUCUAACUAAUUAUAUAAGUAACUAUUGGAGUAAAUGUAUAUAUCCAUGACACCUAUAUUAAAACAACUAUAUUCUUUUGUUUUUAUAAAUUUUAUCAUGGAUCUUUCAAUUUCAAAUUUAUAUGACUCUUUAUUUGUGAUAAUAGAUUGUAUCACCAAAAUAGUAUAUUUUAUACUACGUACAAAAACUAUCAUAUGUGAAGAAAUAACUAACUAUUUUUUUUGGUAAUAUUUAUUGCUAUAAUAGAUUGCCAAUGGAUAUUUUAUUAAAUAAAAUUAUUUAAUUCAUAUUAAUAUUUUUAAAAAUUCUUUUUAAAAUAUUGAAAGUAGACAUAAAAUUAUCUUUGAUUUUACAUCCUCAAAGUGAUGGAUAAACAAAAUGAAUGAAUCAAGUUUUGAAGUAGUAUUUGAGAUAUACUAUUAAUUGCCUUCAAAAUAAUUGGAUAAUUUUUUUGUUGUUAGCAAAUUUUGCAUAUAAUAAUAUGGUAUAUUUUUUUUAUUCAACAAAUGCUUUUUUAUAUUAAUUAAGAUUAUUAUUUAUAAUUUAAUACUUUUGACUCCUUAAAAUUUGAUAAUCUUAGGACAAAAGAUUUAACAAAUUAUUUAUUAGAUUUAUAUAUUAAAUUAUGGAUGAUAAUCUAUAAUUUAUAAAAGUAUAUUUAAAAGAAGCUCAAAAACAACAAAUUAUCAAUGUAGAUGCCUAUUGAAAGAAAAAACCUCAAUUUCAUGUUGGCAAUAAGCUAUGAUUUUUUUUUGUAAUAUUAAGACUAAUCAUCCUUGUAACAAGUUGGAUGAUCAUAGAUUGGAACUAUUUUUUAUUUAUAAAUAAAUCAAUUUAAUUGCUUAUUGAUUAUACUACCAAAGUUUAUAAAAAUCUAUCUUAUAUUUGAUGUAUCUCAUUUUGAAUUAUACAAAGCAAUGGAUAUACUAAGAAAUAGACAAAUGCCGCCUCCUCCUAUGGUAGUAAAUAAUAAUCAAAGAUUUGAUGAAAAAGAAGUUUUAGAUUUAAGAUUGCAUCAAAAUGAGUCAAAAUAUCUUAUACAUUGGUGCAAGUAUAAUAUUAGUGAAUGCACAUAAGAACAAACAAAAAAUCUUAUAACUACAGCAAAAAAAAGUUGAUACUUUUCAUUAAUAACAUCCAUCAAAAUUCAAAUGAAGAAUGAAAAAAAUUCUUGCUUUAAAGCAAAGAACAUUAAAUAAAGAUUAUAUUUUAUCUUUUAUCAUUUUUUGUAUUUUCUAUAUAUUUGUGGUUUUAAAGAAAUAGAGAAUCAAUAACUAAUAGAUUCAAUAUUUGAGCUAUUAUUAAUGAAUUAUUAAAUAUUGUAUUGAAAUUAUCACAAUCUUCAAAAUAAUAUAAUAAAGCUUAAGAUUCUUAAAAAUAACAUGUUUUUUUUAAAAAAAGAUGAUAACUUACAAUAUGUUAAGUAUUACAACUUUGAAAAAGACUCUUAAUAUUUGGUGACAUUAUUGGAGGUAGAAACAACCAUUAAUGAUAUUUUAAAUAUUUUAUUUAAAAGAAGUUACAAAGUUCUCAACAAUGAUUCAAUAACAUAGUGAUUUUUUUAUUAAUAUAAAAUAUUAUUAAUAAUUGAAAGGACAUAUCAGCUACCUUCAAAUAGAACAUAGAUCAAAGUAUAUAACAAAUACAAUUUGUUGCAUCUUGAAUUUCUUUAACAUAAGAUGAUUGUUCCUUGUGGAACUUGUUUUUAAAACAUAGGAAUAAUGUCAUACACAUACAUAUUUAUUUAGAUUAAAAGAAGUAGAUAGUAAAAAAAUAGAAGUAAGUAUAUUUAAAAACAUCUUCUGAAAAAGCUUCUUAGAAGCUUUAGAAAUGAAAAUUGUACUUUUUACAUAUUUAAAGAUAAUUGAUAGUUUAAAAACUUGGCUAACAAAUUUUCCACAUAUUACACAUAUUGAUAAUUUUUUAUACAAAUUGACUAUGUGGUAUUAUUGUAUUAUAACACAAUCAUAUGUAUAUAUAUAUAUAUAUAUAUAUAUAUAUAUAUACAUAUUUUAUUAUAAAAAUAUCUAAUAAAAAAAUAUAAUAUCAAAAGAUAAAUAAAUUAUUGAAAGUUAAUAAAAAUAUUUAAUAUUAAUAUUGCCUUUUUGUAAAAAAAUCUUUUAUUUACUUUAUAUUGAUAUAAAUAAAGAAAAAUAAAAUAGAUUAAAAAAACAAAAAAAAAAUAGGUAUCUUAAGGAGGGAGUCGGAAGUAGUUUGUAGCAAAAAUCAUCUUAAGAAACUAGGAAUUGAUACUUAGAGAGUAUAUAUUGUAAACCAAAAUCGAAAUGAAAACUCAAAGUACAAAAUCAUGCACCUACAUCAAUUUGAGACUCUUCUAUUAAAUAAAGAAAAAAAAUUAGAGAAUAGACUUGACUUAAAAAAAAGUUGUUUGAAUAUUGGAUUAGGAUCCUAGAUAUUUAAAUUUUAGGAUCAAUGACAGUUUUUGUGAUCUUAAGAAAUCAAUUUAUUUUAUUGAAGCAAAAGAUUGUGAAUACAUAGCAGACUUGAUUAUCUAUAAUUUUGAUAAUUUAGAAAAAAAAAUUAAAUGGUUCAAUGGAGGAUAAUUGUUACUAAAAGAUCAACAUCUAGAUUAGAAGAGAUAAAUGGCCAAUACUUAAAAGUAUUAGGAGUUCGUUUUUUCAAAUGGUAUUUUUGAUUUUCUUCAAAUUUUAUAUGCUUAUUUUUUGCUUGAAGAUUGAAUAUAUAUAUAUAUAUAUAUAUAUAUAUAUAUAUAUAUAUAUAAAUAAAAAAUAAAAAAAAUUGUUAAAAUCAAAAAUUCAAUUAGUUAUAAUUAGAAUUUCAAAAAAACUAUAAGAAUUUUAUUAUAAUUUAUUUAAGAUUUAAUUAAUUUUUUAUUAGAAUUUCGAUAGGAUUUAUUUGAAAAUUCUUUAAGAUUUUAUUAAUAUUUUUUUAAGAUUUAGAUAGUAUUUGUUUAAGAAUUCAUUAGGAGUUUUUAGGAUUUUUAGAGCUAAAUUAGAAUUUGAUUGAGAUUUAUUUAGAAUUUACUUAAUAUUUCUAUUUUUAUUAAUUAAAGGAUUUUUAUUAUUUCUUUAAUAUUUCUAUUUUUGAUAUUUUAAAAUAUUUCUUAUUAUUUUUUAAGAUUUUAUUUCUAAUAUUUCUUUAAGAUUUAUUUAUGCUUUCUAUAAGAUUUAUUUAUAAAGUUCUUUAUGAUUUUUUUAGAAAUAAUUUAGAAUUUUUUAUAUUUUUUUUAAUAAUUUCUUUAAUAUUUCUUUUGAAUUUUAUUAAAAUUUGAUUAGAAUUGUUAAAGUUUAAUUGAGAUUUAUAAAGGAUUUUAUUAGAAUUUUUAAAACCUUAUUAUUGCAAUUUCUAAUUUAUUUUCUAUAACUAAGUAUUUGGUGCAUUAUCAUGAUGUAACACAACUAAUAUGUAAAAGAGUGAAAAAAAUAUUAUAUUUUAAAAGGUCUAAUUUCAAAAUAUUGUAGCAAAUCAUCUUAGAAUUAUAGAUAAUAGUCAAAAGGUAGUAAACUAAAAGUACAAUUGAUGCUUUUUAUACAAAGUGAGCUUCUACUUACUUUUUAAGACCAUAAAUAAGGAAAAACAAAGUAGAUUAGAAAAAUAAAAGAUAUGGACACAUGUAAAGAGAAGUUAAUAAUUGAUUUUAGAAAAAAUUACCUUAAGAAGACAAAACUUGAUAUCCAAAGAGGGCUGAUUGUCAACUUGGAUUGAAAUCAAACCCUAAGACACAAAACCAUAUACCUACAGUGAUUCUAAUGUCAUUUUGCAAAUUUGAGAGUAGAAUUUGGAAGAAGACUUUAUAGGAUAUCUUGGAGCAUUAGUUUCACGUGAUUGAGUUUGUAAUGACUUUGUAAGAGCUUUACAAAGUCAUGGUUGUUUUGAUUGACUCUGGAUUUUAUGAAAUAAAAUAGGAUUUAUAAUUUGUACAAUUUUGUGAGUUUUAUUGCAAAUCUACAAGUGAAAUUUUGUGAGGUUGUGAAUAUAUUUGAGCUUUAUAUAUGUUACAAAUUUGAGCUUAAUUAAAAUAUUAAAUUAGAGGUAAUUGAAGCUCAAGUAGAUUAAGGUCUUAAAGAUUGGAUUUUUAUUUCUACUAAGAUUAUCUAAGAUUUGUAAUAAUUUGCUAGUUAGAUUGAAGUGAUUUUUAUUAGAGCUCAUAGUUGAAUUGACUUUCAAUACUUGUGCAAAAUUUGAGAACAAGUUAAUAGUUCAAUUAGCACUUAUUAUUUCUAGAAGAUCAACAUUAAGAUCAAAGAUGGAGGCUAAUUGACAUUCAAGUAGAUUAUGAUGUUUUUUUUCUAUUUUAUAAGUUUAAUUCUCUUCAAAUUUAUUAUUCUUAUUUUUAACUAAGAGAUUGAAAGAUAUGUAAAAGUUUUAAGAAAGAUCAAUGGUUUAAUCAAUAAAUAUUGAGAUUCUAAAACUAUUCUAGUAUUAAUUUAAAUUACUUAGGUUUUGGUUAGGAUUUAUUUGAAUUGAUCAGGUUUUAUUAUGAAUUUGUUUAAGGUUUAUUAGAAUUUUAUUUAUAAUUUAAGUCUAACUAGAGUUGAUUUAAAAUUUAGGAUUUUUUUAGGAUUUUUUUAGAAUUUCUAAAAGAUUUCUUUUGGAUUUUAUUAAAGAUUGUUUUUAUAUUCCUUUUGGAUUUCUUUAGGAUUUUUUUUGGAUUUCUUUGUGAAUUUCUUUUGAAUUUCAUUAUUAUUUCUUUAUGAUUUCUUUAAAAGUUAUUUGGAAUUUCUUUGUGUUUCUUUUAUAAUUUAUUUAAAAUUUUAAUUAGACUUAAUCAAUAUUUGAUUAUAUUUGCUAAGCUUUAAUUAUAAUUUAUAUAUAAUUCUAUUAGAGUUGUUAGGACUUAUUGUUGCAAAUUUCUUUUAUCUUCUAUAGCCAAGUGCCUGGCACAUUCUCAAGCAAGAAUUUACAUAAUACAACAGCGUUUUGAAAGAAUACCUUAUAUAAUAUGAAAGCACAUAUGUAGAAAAUUUGUCUUCUAAGUUAUAAAUGUGACUUGUAAGUCAAAGGUCCUAUAGAAUAUUUUCAUGUAGCUCCUAAUUAAAUAGUAUAUAUAGAGGUAAGAGUGAGGCCUUUCUUACUCUUGUCAAUGUCUUUUUAAUUCUUAGUCUUAUUUAAAGAGCCUUUAGUCUUUUUAUCUUUGACAAUAACCAUUGUAGUCUUAAUAUUAUACUAUCUUUAAGUAAAUUCUAUUAUUUUUUUGGAACAUAAGGAUAUAAUGAGGUUUUUAUGUUUGUAAUUUAUGUCUUUAAUAAAGACAACAAAUGGAGACAUAGAACAAAGAUUGAAAACCAAAAACAAGAGUUGGAAAUUAAAAAAAAUAUAUAGCAAAUAAUAGAGUAAAAAUAAGAAAUAUGAAUAGAGAGGUUAGGAACUAAGGACAUGAGAUAUGAGACAAGAAUAGAAGAUAGAUUGAAUUAAUCAAGAAAAUUCAAGAAGAUGUUGUCUUCACAACAUGGACAUAUUGCUUAAGCAACUCCUUAGAAUUUAUUACAAAAUUUAAACAAAUUUGUAAGUUUUAUUGAUUUUUUAACUUUUUCAUAAUUUCUAAUAAUAAAAUAAAUUUAAUAUUAUUAAAUAAAUUUUUUUAAUAAUUUUUUUUUAAAUAAUCAAAUAAAAUCAUUCUAUGUCAAUUAAAUUGCCNNNNNNNNNNNNNNNNNNNNNNNNNNNNNNNNNNNNNNNNNNNNNNNNNNNNNNNNNNNNNNNNNNNNNNNNNNNNNNNNNNNNNNNNNNNNNNNNNNNNUUAGAAUCUUUUAUACAGUUAUAUUUUGUUUAAUAAUUAUUUAAUAAAUUUAAUAAAUUUGAUAAAUUGAUUCUAUUUGAGAUUUUUGGUAAUAUUUAUUAAGAUUUUAAUAAAUUCUAUAUUUUAAUGCUCAAUAAUUAAUGUAAAAAUACAUCAUAGACAUCUUGUGUAAGAAUUUUAUUCUUCUACUCAAAAGAAAAUUUGAUAUCUAUAUAUAUAUUAUUUUUAUAUUACUAGAAUGAUAUCUAAUAAAAUAUUAGAUCAUAUUAUUAUAUUUACAAAUUUAUUUUUAAUAAUUCUUAUUAAAAUACUACCUCAAAAGCAUUAAAUGUAUAUUUAUUGAUAUCUUAUUUAAUUAAUUUCAUUGAAUUUGUAUUCAAAUUUUAAUUACUUAGACAUCCAAAGUCUUACCAAAAUAUCAAAUCAUUUGGAAAUAGGAGAGGGAAGAGAAAGAAUAAGUCAUUUAAUCUAUUUGAGCAAUUUUUAGGCUCUAAGUGAGAGCAAAGUCACAACUUGUCUUGCACAUGAUGUAUGUUGUUAUACAAUGCCAAAAUAACAAACAAUGGCUAUAAAUCAUGUAUAUAUGUAUGUAUCUAUUCUAACAAACACAAUCAUACAUUUUUUUUUGUUGUGACUUCAAUCAAGAAGACUAAACAAAAUCACAAACUAUAGCAAAGCAAUUGUAUUACAUACUCUAAAACAUAUUCUUAUUGGAUUGGUCCACAUGUGUUAACUGUUCAAAACUUUGUUAGUUCAUUUUGUACAGUCACAAACCCACCUUUGUAUUUUCUUAAACAAAACUUCCUUCCUUAAGAAAUUACUCUUUCUUUCACUCUUCUCCAUGUCUUUUUUUUUUCUUUUUUGGCAAAGCACUAUGUGCUACUGCCUAAUUACGGAGAAAGUUUAACGUUGGAGUGGAAGGGAACUACAUCCCCUGCUUCCCAUAUCUGGCACUAUGACUCUCAUUGUUAGUCCCAAUAUUGUCAAGAAUAGUGAUUGUUCACACGAGUUUGUUUGUUUGGGGCUUCAGUCUAGUUCCUGCAUUUUGUGGAGCAAAUUAAGCAGGUUCGGCGUCGUGGCUAUGGUUUUAAAUUACGGCAAUCCAUUGCUGCCAGUAACUCUGCACAUUGAUGAUACAGAUUUGCUUGCCAACCAUCUGAUAUUCAUUUCAGGGUUUAGAUUAAAGCCACUUCACAAUGAGAUCCAACUCUGAAGGUUUGUGUUGAAGCUGUCUUCUCAAUUAAGAAGGAAGAUCUGGAUUCGUAUAUUGUUCUCACUUGAGACAAUGGUUUCAUCACUUCCUUGGACUAAUAAAAUUUGCGUUUAAUUGUGUUUUGGUACAAAGUGCUGGAUCAGUCUCACUAAUGUCCACUCAAAUUCCACACUUGCCAAUGCGCACUUUGCCACUUUCUCCGAGCACGGUAUGAUGAUUACCACAUCAUUCUCAUGAAUAAGAAUUUACAUAGAUUUGGGUUGGUGCCCAGUUUGAAUGGUCGAAACAUCAGUUUGUGUGCUUGCCAAAUCCAAUGUCAUGGACUAGAGCCUGCCUUUGGCACUUCGUAUCACCAGUGGAGACUCUACACGGUUCAAAGUACCGACUGAUUUUCGUCACCAAAUCCAUGCACAAAAUGGCAGUUUCUGAAUACAAAAGCAUCGCCCAAGGUGGGGUGGUGUUGCUGAAAAACCUAUCAACGUUGCUGUGAAUGCUCUUUGUUGUUGCUGAAAUAGAGUGAUCGAGACGAACUAGAGUCGUCUUUAGAUAUAUAUAUAUAUAUAUAUAUAUAUCUGGAAUGAACUUUGGUAAUAAAUAAUUUAUUACAAAAUCAUUGGUGCAAUAUCUAUAUCAUUUAUCAAUAUACUCAGUUAAAAAUAAUACUUAGUUUUAAAAUUACUAUUUAUCCAUCUCAUAACUUGAAUAUAUAUAUACAUAUACAUGAAUAUGUAUGUACAUGUGAAUAUAUAUAUAUAUACAUACACACAAAUAUUAGAUUGUAUGGUUUUGUGAAUUAAUUUUAACACAUAUAUAUAUAUAUAUAUAUAUAUAUAUAUAUAUAUUACUUUAAUUAGAUCAAUUUAAAAAAUUAAGUAAUAUAGAUAGAAAAUAAUGAUUCAUAAUCAUAUUUUUUUUAAAGUCUACUAUAAUCCAUAUAUAUAUAUAUAUAUAUAUAUAUAUAUCUGUUUAUAUUUAUAUAAUUAAUAUAUUAUUACAGAAAAUUAAUUUCAAUGGUCAAUAAUUGUUUUCUUGAGGAUAAAUUAUGCAAUCAUAAGAAAAUUUAUAAAUAAAAGGUUUUUUAUUUUUUAAAUACCUUGUAAUAAAUCUAUUUUAAUUUUUAAAUACCAAUUUAAAAUAGAAAAUAUUAGGUGGACACCUCUCUUUUACUACGUGAAGAUCCCUUUUGCCUCACAUUUAUGCAUACAUAUCCUGCAAAAAAUAACUAAUUUUGAAUUUAAAUGAGGUUUUUUGUAUUUUUAUUACUGUGAUUAUUUGAUUAUUUAAAAUUAAGUAAUAUCGAUAGAAAAUAAUGAUUCAUAAACUAUUAUUAUUGUAAUCAUAAAUCAUAUUAUUAUAAUUAAUAAAUUUAUAAUUACAAUAUUUUUUUAUCCAAAAUAUUAAUUUUAAAAAGAUUUGCAAGUAAAAAAUUGAUGAUUGAGAUAAUAUAAAGCCAUAGAAUACAACUAGAUAAGAUAUAUUGAAUUUUGUAUUAAAAUAGUAAAUAUAACAAGAACCAUGACCUAAAAUAAAAACUAGUUGUUGCUUGUGGAAAUGCAUGAUACAAGAGAUGUCGACCCAAUAAAAAGGAGAUGUCUACCUAACACUUCUCUUAAAAAAUUAGCUGAAAUAAAAACUUUGUAUUACAUAAAUAACAAACAAGUUUUUCAUGCAACUUCUACUAAAUAUCUUUUUUCUAAAAACUAUAAUUCUAAUCACUUCAAAUUUAAAAUCUAAUUUUUAUUUUAUUUUCAAACUAAUUAAUAAAAUAUUUGUAGUUAAAAAAUCUCUAAUCCAUCUAUGAAUCACACUUUUUUAGCCACAAUAAAUCUAAAGUGGAAAAAUUAGUUAGAAAUUUAAGAAAAUGAUUAUUAUUAUAUAUUUAUUAUCAUAUCAAAUUACUUUCAUUGAAAUGGUUUUUAAAAAAAAUAUCUAAAAUAUUUUUUAUAAAGAAUUAAAUAGAGAUGAGUACAAAGACAUUUGAUGGAAGUUACCUUUCUAAAGAAAUAUCAAAGAAGCCUCUUAAACAUUAUUAGAUCUAGUAGCAUGCCAUGUAACUUUAAAAACAAAUUUUUUCUUAAGAAAUUAUUUAAGAAGUGUCUAAAAACUUAGAUACUUGGUUUAUAAGUCUCAAAGUCUUAGAAAGCUUUUAUGUGAUCUUUUUAUUGGUCAUUAUAUAUAAAAUGCAAGAAUAAAUUUAUCUUUAAUCUUAUGACUGGUCUUCAUAUAAGAAUAAUAAUUUAUUCUAACUUAGCAAAGUUAUUGAAUAUUUUUCUACUAAAUAAUAUACUUAUUUUUAGUCAUUUCUAUAUCUUCUUAGUUGUGUAUAAAUAUAUUGCCUUUUUACAAGUUUAUCUUGAUUCAUGUCCAUGAUAUUUUAAUAAGACUAAAAAUAUAAUUUUAAUUUUAAUUUUUUUAUAAAUAUAAAACUACUUAUUUUCUUUAGAAACAUCAAAUUUUUCUUUAAAUUUUAGAUUAAUCUUCUUUAUAUUAAUAUCCUUGUAUUUUUAUUUUUUUCUUCUUAUUUUUAUUUUAUUAUUAAAAUUAAUAUUUUUUUAGUUUUUUAUUAAUUAAUAAAAAAAGAUAAUUCUAUUGUAUAAAAACUAAAAAUUAAAAAUAAUCAAUGUAUGCAAUUCAUCAAAUUUGCUCACUACCACAAGUUUUUAAUGUUUAGAGUAAUUUUUUAUUAGAUUAAAUAAAAAAUGACAACAAUUCCAUUUGUAGUUAUUUACUUUGAGUAUUUUUUACUUAUUUUUAAUUAUUAUAGAAACGUAACAACGUCUAUUGACGAAAUGAUUAAUUUUUUAUAUAAUAUUUUAAUAAUAUAAAUAUCAAAUAUUAUAAAUAUAUCAAUUACAUACACAUAUUAAUUAAACUCUAAGUAGAAAACUAUUCAACUUCAAUAUCUUUAGUAAAAUUCAUUAAAAUAUUAUUCAAUAAAAACUAAACUUAUCAAAGUUAAUAAAUAAAUAUCAAAGUUAAUUUUAAUAUAUUAUAUUAUAUUAGAUAAUAUUAUUUUAAUAAAUAAAUAAAUAUCAAAGUUUAAAUAAUUAUAUUAAAUAAUAAUUAAUAAAUAAAUAAAUAAUAAUAAUAAUAAUAAUAAUAAUAUCAACAAAACUUCAAAACAAAUUCCUCGACUACUUUAAAGACCAAAAAAUUGUUUAUCAUGCAGUACUAUCUUAUCAAAAUUGCAUAUUGUACUCUAAUUCUUUUCUUAUCUUUUAUAAUACAAGUUUGUUUAGAAUAUAUAUAAAAAAAAAAAAAAAAAAAAAAAAAAAAAAAAAACCAUAUAUUUUUGCAUUCUUUUAUAAGAUUUUAUAUAUUUUUUUAAUUGCUCAAUUUUUUUUUUUAAUAUUUCAUGAUAUCUGAAUAUAAUGUAAACAUUUUUUUUGAAUAUUGUCUUUAAAUUUGUUUUACUAACCUUCAAGAAGAAGUUCAAUGCCAUUUGGACCAAUUUACAACUUAUGACAAAAAAUAGCUACCUUCAAGAAAUAUAUUAAUAAAAUUAAUUACUUAAUAUUAAAAUUUAUAUGUAGGUACAUCAAUUUUUUGUUGUAAAAAAAAAACAAAAAACAAAACAAAAAACAAAAAAAAAACAAAACAAAACAAAAACAAACAAAGAAACAAAUCUUUACAAAUGCUUAGUUAACUAUCAAAAAUUCUGAUUUUUUUACAUUUGAAUUUUAACUCCUCAAAUAAUUAAACUUGUCGACUAAUUGUCCCCAGAUACGAUUUAUAUUUAAAUACAUAUGUAAGAAUAAUAUAAUCUAAUACAAAUUAAUAAAAGAAAUAAAUAAAUGGCUACAUUUUAAAAUAGUCGUAACAAUUUCAAUACAGUUUUUUACUGUUUAUUCUUACAAAUGCUGGGAUUUCUUUUUAAAUGUUCGUGAAUGUUAUAAUUAUCAAUUUAUAGCUAAUCCUAUUGUUUUUUAUUUAUAAAUUAUUCUUUAAUUUUCUAAGAAUAUAAUAGAACACAGAAAAUAUGUUUAUAAUGUAUUAUAAAUAUUUAAUGAUGGAAGGUUAUAUUGUAAGAUAGGAAAUUAUAAAAUUCAUACAAUUUUAAUAGAAUUUUUAGAAUAUAUUAUUUCAAAUGAUAAUUUAAAGAUAUGCCAUAAGAAAGUAGUAAUUACCAUAGAUUAUAAUUAUAUAAAGGUUUUGUAAGAUUAUUCUACCAGUUCAAGCAUUGGACUUGACACAUUAGAAUUUAUUUAUAAAAUUCAACUAUAGAGAAUCCUGGUGCUAUGUUGUGGUUAUAAAUAUUAUGGAUCUGUGAACUGAUAUAUGCAAAGACCAUAAGGAUUGUUCUGGAACCAUAUCAUAAAUUCAUUACAUAAUUUAAUAAAUCCUAUAACCUUCAUAUGCACUUUUAGAGUUUAGUGUAAGAUUCAUUCUAAAAAGUUUUGCUUUACCAUUAAAUUAAAGAAAUUAUAUUGUAAUAUAUUUAUUUUUCAUAUUUAUUUUAUGUUGUAAUGAAUUAAUAAAUUCUUUCUUUAACAAAUUUAAUUAAAAAAAAGAUAAAAUAUUAUAACUUGUAUUAGUUCAGUCAAUAAAAUUUAUUAAAUACUAUUGAUUAUAUUGAUUAAAGUUAUACAAGUUUUAAGAUUUUUAUCUUUUUUGUUAAUAGAUUAUAAAAAAUCUAUCUAAAUCUCUUUUUUUAAUAUUUUUAUUAAUUAGACGUUUAUACAUGUAUUUUAUUAUUGUUAUUAUUAUUAUUAUUAUAUGUAACAACUUAUAAGAAAAUCAAGCAUCUCUAAAAUCUCUAGAUACUUUGACAUUUUUUCAUUUUUUUGUCAUUUUCUUUUUAAUGAUUUGUAAUUGUUGCUCACACCUCCAAAUGAAAUAUUUUUUAGCAUUAUACAAUUUGAAAUAAAUAUCCGAAAAAAAAGUAAAGAAUAAAAAGUAAAAAAUUGUAAAAGAAUAACAUGAAAAUAAGAUAUAUGAAUAUAUAGAUGUAAAAUAAUAUUAUACUUGAGUACUUAAACAAAUAUAAUCUUUUACAAAUACCAAAAUCACUCUUAGGAAUUUGUUGCAUUUUUUAAAUGUAUUUUUAGCAAUAAUUGAUUGACCUAAUCACAUAUAUUUAAGUAAAAUAAUCUUUGGAAUUUUUAGAAUGAAUAAUUAGUUAAUUAAUUAAUCAUGCAAAUUUAUUUUUUUUGUUUUUAAAUAAUUACUCUUAAUAUUUACAUUGACUUCUUAGUAUUAUAGAAUCAUUUUUAAGGAUAUAUAUAUAUAUAUAUAUAUAUAUAUAUUUAAUUUAUAUAUUGAUGCUUGUAAAAAAUUAAAAUGAUACAAGUAUAAAGUUAAAUAUCUAAUUACAUUAAAUGAAUUCAUUAAAAAUGAUUACUGGAUAAAACAAUCCUUGUACUAAUUAUACAUGUUAUCGAAAAUUUAUUUUGCAUUAUGUCUACAAUGUUUUAGAAUUAGAAGACAUUAAAUAUUAAACAAAAUUCGUAGAUUUUUUUGUUAGAAAAGAUAGAAGUGGCUUCUCAAAUAUCAACUUUAAAACUCUAAGUAAAAACCUUCUGCACCUCACUAGAUUUUUUAAUAAUAUUUCAGUACUUAUAAUUUUGAAGUCUUUAUUUUUAUUUUGCACAUUCUUAGAUAAUUAUUGUUAUGAGAUAAUUUCCUUAAGUAGCUUAAGCAAGUGCAGUUUUUAGAAGUAUUAAAAAAAUUAUAUAAUAUAAAAAUUAUAUAUAUAUAUAUAUAUAUAGAUAUAUAUUGAAACCUUAAAAAAAGUAGAAAAAAAAAUCAGUUCCAGUUUUUUAAUAUUUCAAAUAGAAGAAAAAGUUAGUCUAAUUUUAAGUUUUAUCAAUCUAUUUUUUAAAACUUAAAUAUUACAUACUUUGGUGCCAUUCUGCCUAUUUAUAGAUAAAAUUAUCUAAAUUGAUAUCUAAGAUGGGUAAUCUUUGCUGCUUCUUUAUUUUAUCCUCUUUGUAAGAAAUUAUCCAUACAAAUUUAAGAUAUCAAAUUGUAUCUUUGAUAUUUAAUUACACAUUACAAAAUUGAUCUUUUCUAAUUUUUCAAUCUUCGAUAAUAUGCUCAAACAGGUUUAUUUUCUCUCUCUCUCUCUCUGAAGUUACAGUAUUGGAGAUGUAGCCUAUUCGUAUACAAUUUUGCAAAUUGAUGCAACACUUAAUAAUAGUGAGUAAAAAAUAAUAAUAAAUAAAAAACCAUUUUAAAAAAAAACUAUAAUUUCAUAAUAAAAUUUUGUUUUUUUUUAACUCCUAUUUAUUUAUUUUAAAACUUUACAAUGUAUCUCAUUUGAAUUCGAAAUAUAUCAAUUCAACCUAAUAAACAUCAGCAUUAUUAUUUUAAACUUAAAUGCAAAUAUUAUAAUGUAAGCCACAUAAAACCUAUAUUUUUUUUUUAAUAUAUUUUUUUAGAUUUUAUUAAGAAUACUUAAAAUUACGAUUUUUAUUUUUAUUUUUUAAAUUACAAUAUAUUCAGUAUUGUAACAUUGUUCAGAUUUUCUAAAACUAAUAACAUAUGACAGCUCAAUAACUCACAUGCUUACAUCAAGUAAAUGCAAUUCAACACUAUAGCCAAAUACAACAAUAUAUACAUUUAGAUUUACUUUUGGAUGUUGCUAAUGCCACUACACUUUUUGUUAUUGCCACCGCAACUUGCCACCCCCUUGACAUAUUUCUUUUGCUUCAUUUAUUUAUUUAUUUCAAUUAAGUAUAUAUAUAUAUAUCAUUUGUUUGCCCAACAAAUGCCACACCAUGCCUUCAAUCCCCCACAUCAAUACAUCACUGAAAUGAAAACUAGGAAUAGGGGGAUUGGGAUGAGAACUAGGAUUGGGUCAAUUUAGUAAAUGAGUGGAUCAUUUUAACAUUCCUUUAUAUAUUUAUAUUUACAGCCAAAAUAAAAAAUAAAUAAAACAGUAAAAAAAUUAACUAAAAUCUGAAUAAAAUUUUCAUAAAAUUGUGGUGGCAUUAGCAAUACCAUUAUUCCAUACUCUGAACAAACCAUCGAAAAUCUUCGAGAGACGUUGGACGCAAUCCCUCACCAACGGAAAGUGUACCCUCUUCCUAGAUACAGAAGCACCGUAAGCGAGCUCUGGUUCGCAGCGCCUCUCACGAAACCCUAAUUCCGGAAUGGCCUCGGUUGCUGCCAUCGCAAUGGUGAGCCUUCGCGGAGAAAAUCAAUGACGCGCAGUUCGGUGUCGAUUGCCGCAGAUUUUCACCCACAUUGGCAAGCAAUCUUUGCGUGGGUUCUUGUCAGUGAUCGCACCAACUGGAGCUGCCUGGCGUUGCAGGUUUUGGGAAGAUUGAUUGCGUCUCCCUGUGCUGAGGUAUAGUCGGGAUUGGGAGACGAGAGUGAAAAGCUCGAGCCACCGUCCGGAUUGGGUUUUUUUUGCAUUGCAGCCUUGGGCGAGCAAUCAUGGCGGAGGAAGACGAUAUGCCCCGCGAUGCUAAGACGGUGAAGACCAUCUUGGAAUCCAUGGGCGUGACGCGCUUUGAGCCGCGGGUCAUCAACCAAUUUCUGGAUUUGUGGUACCGCUACGUCGUGGACGUGCUUGGCGAUGCGCAGACGUACGCCGAGCAUGCGGGGAAGGCCGCCAUCGAUUGUGACGACGUGAAGCUGGCUAUCCAGUCGCGAGUGAAUUCCUCGUUUCAGCAGCCUCCUCCUCGGGAGGUAUGGUUAUGGUUUUUGGCAUGGUCGAGUCUGUUGCUUUUUCUAUGAUGCGAAGUGUGUUCCAGGUUUAGGGGAAGGAUGGUGGGUACGGACUAAGUCAUUUCCUUGUGAGCUUCAAUUUGGCAGGACCAGUUCUGCAAAUUGGGUUGGGGUUGGCAUUGUAGGCGACGGAGAAGAGGGUUUGAAGAUUUUAAUUUUGCCAGAAUCCUUUGCUAUUGAAGUAUAGUUUGCAUUUGUCUUGAAUUAAGUCACUCCUUACGCAAAGAAAACUUAGCUCGUUCGUGAGGGCUGCUGCACAGGAGUGGACUUACUGAACGGUUCGUUAUAAAUGAGAGCAGAAUUAGGGUUUCGGAUGGUUUAGCUGGUGUCUAAUGGAAGGAAAAAAAUUGCGCCGUAGUGAUGGCUUCAUAUUAACCACCGAGCACGCCAUGGCUGUCUGUUCUGGCAGUUGUUGGUGGACUUAGCGAAAGCCCGGAACAGUAUUCCUCUGCCGAAGAUCAUAGGCACGCACGGCAUUUCUCUUCCUCCUGAAGCAGAUACCCUAAUUUAUCCGAAUUACCAGCUGAACGUACCGACACGAACGACUUUUCGCGAUAUGGACGAUGACAUUGAAUGGGAAGACGAUGACGACAAGGAGGAUGGUGGAAAGGAGGUGGUCCAACCCACCCACUUACAGGAUAGUGGCCGAAAGGUGUCCUUCUCCAUUACGGGGAAAGAUUCUAAGCCGUAGCGGUGUGCUUUACUUCACAAGGCAUUUAUAGCUCUUGUAUGAAGAAAUUGCAGGAUAAAAAUGUCUGGAAUAGGAGUUGGCAACCAGCUCUCGAUGGCUCCGAUUUUAGCAUAGAUGAGCAGCUUUCUAGGACUGGUUGAAACUUGUAGAUAGCAACUAUCCAGCAGCUUUAUUUUGGGUGGGAUAUCUUCGGACAUAGUUAAGAGCUGGUGUAUAUUUUCAUUUUAGAACUAAGGCUCAUUCAGUGUGAUGUUGGAAGCGUUACUGGUAUUAUAAUACAAGCACAAUUAGUGCUUGUUCAUGUACUUUACUAUUGCGUUGAUGGGGUCCAAUGUGUAUCAAGUUGAAGAAGUGGAGUCUAUCAAGAGCAGGGAUUUAUGUUGUACUAAUCCUUCCAUGAUUCCAAACCCUGCUUGGAAAUGAUUGUUUUCGAAAAAUUUGACGCAAGUGAGUUUGAUAGGUAGCGAUGUGUGGCUAUGUCUAUAUUGUUUUUAGUGGCGUGAAACACCCGCGUGCUGCAGUUUCAUAGACGUAGCCCUCUUUGUAAAUAGUUCCCCCAACUAUUUUCACGUUCAUUUACGUGAGUCGGAUCAUGUGUUCCGACUGCGGAAAGUGUAGAGUUUAGGAAAGAUCAGUCGGGUUCUCAAUAAAAAAAAUUUUAAAAAAGUACUAAAGUGAGUCAAAAAAAGAGUAAUCUUUGGUAUACUGAUGGGAACAGUUUCCGUCUAUGUGGACAGACUACUCUGGAGUUUUGGCUGAGUGGAAGCUUGGCAUCGAUGGAGGAGGGUAUUACGUCACAGGCUUCUCAUCGGGACUGAGGAUUCUUCAAAGCUUGCCAGGAGAAGGUAGGGUUGCAAUCCUACAUGCUUAUCCAAGCUAAAGAAUAACACGAUUGACCGAAAUGCAAAGUUCGUAUGGAUUUUUUCUUGGAUAUUUUGUGAAUUGUCGUGUCUAAACGGGAAUUGCUUGAGUGGAUUCGUUUUUUUUUUGUAUAUGACUAAACUGUAAUGGUUAUUUAUUAGAGAAAUUCAAUGGUUAUUUAAUAGAUAUUCAAUGACAAUACUGACAACAUUUGGUUGAAAUGGACUUUAUAAACAUUCUUUUAAAAAAUACCUGUCGUGUAAUGUCCUGAAUUUUGCAAUUGCAUGAUGAAAAUAGACAAGAAGAAGAGUAAUGCAUGGCAAUAUAAAUCUAAGUAAUAAUAUAUGUUUACAUACAGACAUUAAUAAUAUAUAUAUUGGUGUUAAGUUUUAGAUUAUAAGGUGGUGAAGACUUCAAGUCACAAAGACUCUUUCAUAAAUCUAAAACAACAAUAAUAUAAUGUAAUCAAAGAAAUAAAUAAGUUCUUAAUAACUUCACAAUAAGCAGAUGUCAACAAAGUGCCCAAUUGCACUAGUUUUAAGGUUAAGACAAUCAUGAUAAAAUAAUUGAAUUAGUUGUAAGGCAUUUUAAGACAUCAUUGAGCAGACUUUAGAAAGAAAGAUCAUUACACAAGAAAGAGAAUCACUAUUUUACUUCCAUAAUUUAAUAAAGAUACAAAAAGAAUGUUGGAUUUCUGUGGUUAGUAUUUAAGUUUUAUAAUUAGUACUAUAUAUAUAUAUAUAUAUAUAUAUGAUCAACAGAUUUAUAUAAAAGUGCUUUGUUGAUUAAAUUUGUAACAAAUUCUGCAAGCAGAUGAUUGAAAAUUCUGUGUACAUCAUAAAUCAAGCUAACUGAUGAAAUUGAAUGAUUAUAGUCUUGUCAUAUGUUAGAAAACGCAUGAACUUAAAGUGUUAAUUGAAUAUUGAAUUUGCACAAAAAUGGAAUAAAUACAUUUCGAUGAUGUACAACAAAUUCCUAAGUUUAAAAGCAUAAUUAAUGAAAGUAGUGACAUUCAAAUUUAUUCUUAAUAUUUUUGGACUUUAUCUAAAUAAAAUUGUACUUUUAUUUUUAUAACUAUAUAAAUUUGAUAUCAAAUUGAUAUUCUAUUCUUCUAAAGUGUGUGUGUAUAUAUAUAUAUAUAUAUAUAUGAAUAAGGUGUAUAUAAAUAUAUGGGAUAAUUUUCUAAUUAUUAUCAAUGCAACAACUCUAAAAACAGAUUACAUAAUUAUCAAUAAAAAACAACCUUUAAAUUUAUAAAUUUACCUUACAGUAAGAGUCAUGUGACAUUCAAUCCAUCUGGUUUUGUAAAAACACAAAAGUAAUAGAUAUAAAAUCAGGACAUUGAAUUAUGUGCUGCAACAUUUACAUCAACAUGCUAUAAACAACAGUCAAACAAAAGAACAUUGACCAUUGAGCUAACAUUGUGCAUUUAAAAUGAUAUAGCGAAACUAAGUAGAUGAUCAGAUUAACUCAUUUAAAAUUUUGUAAUACCCUUAAUAUAUCCUAACAAUGAAACCUUGCACUUGUCAUUUUCAAUAUACACAAAUAAGAAAAGAAAAAGGAAAAGUAACAACCAAAAUGCUUUUCAAACGAAGGACCACCAUCCUACAAACAUGACCUAAAAGCGCAUUACACACAUGUUGCCCCAAAGACUUUUGAAGAAAAAAAAAAAAAAAAAAAAAAAAAAAACCUCUUCGGAAACGAUAAUAAUAAUAAUAAUAAUAACAAUAGUUAAUCUCACAGACCCCAGAAACAGCGUUGCAGAUGCAUCAUGUAGCGAACAUGCCGUUUCUAUCGCCCCCAGUGACAUGGCAUCCUCAAUGAUGACGCCACCAGUGCCGCUAAAGCUACACCCCAAUUAGGUCAUUGAUCAGUCAUCAUGCCACAUCAGCAUUGCAGAAUCUAAAUUUACCAGGGUCAAACACACGUUGCACUGCAGAAUGAAUGGCAGAGAUGCGGAAUUAUGGGUUUCAGCAGCAUCGCUGAAAUCCAGCCAGGAAUGAAUGGUAUCCUCAAAAGAUUGCUGGUUUGCAUUGGAGGGAGGGGGAAAAGCACAGCACCAUGAUUCACUGGACAUGGUUUGUCAGGGCCAUGGAAUUGUUACUACACUACAUGAAGAUUUGAAAACCUGAAGAUUUGCAAACAUGAAGAUUUAAAAACAUGGACAUUUUCAAACUUGAAGAUUUGCAAACAUGAAGAUUUGAAAACAUGGAGAUUUGAAAAAAUGAAGAUUUGCAAACCUGAAGAUUUGCAAACAUGAAGAUUUGAAAACAUGGAGAUUUGAAAACAUGAAGAAUUUCAAACAUAAAGAUUUGCAAACAUGAAGAUUUGCAAACAUGAAGACUUACUUCAUGUUACUAAGCAGCGUUGCAUUCUCUACACUACUACUACUCCUCUGCUUAUCAAUUGCAAGCCCCGUUGCCAGAAGAAGAGAGUAAGAGAAAGAGAUUCAUUGGGGGGUGAACCAGCAAGCACUGCUCGUAGCUCCCCUAUCCUGCCAUGUGAGUUCACUACUCGCGGUGCCUCACCACAACGGGGCUCUGGAAUAUGCCGGGCGGGAUAGCGGGCGGAUUCCACAGGAGAACCGGGUGGAAUCAUUGUCAACAUCAACAUCAAAACAGCACCAGUAGCAGCCAUGGCUGCUGAGAGACCUCGCUCGCUGCGCUUCACUUCACCCGGGGCUGCGUUCAGACGAGGAGGAGGAGGAGGAGGAGGGGGAGCAGUGGUGAGCCGAGCUGCGCAGCGCCGAGGGAAGGGAAGGAGAGGGAAGUGGUAGUAGAGGGAGCACGGGGAGCGCGAGGGAUGGGUGGGGGCGGAGGAGGAUCCACGAUCCUCGACGAUCGUCGACGAUCGUCGGAGCCAGCCACCCACCCACCCACCCAGGAGCAUGCGCCGCGCCAAGUGGCGCCGCAGCAGUUGCAACACCCGCAGCGACGGUGGGUCGGAUCCCGCGCUCUCUCUCUCUCGCUCUCUCCGUCUUCCUUCUCCACGCUCUCCCCCUUCAUAACCAACACCACCUCCAUUGCCGAAGGUUCUCUCGUCGGUUUCUCUCUCUCUCUCUCUCUCUCGCAUCCCCGUUUUACAUAUUUUCCUGCAGUGAGAGUCGCUUACCCAUUCCUACGCACGCGUGCAAGCACGCGCGUGCCCGCUCUUCGUUUCUGUCAGUCUGUCUGUCUGUCUGUCUGUGUCCCCGUUUCUCUAUCUCUCCAUCUGUGUGCGUGUGUGAGUGUGUGCGAGUAAGGUUCCCAUUCAUCGUGGGACUGUGUAUGCAUGCUUUGCUUGUUCUUGGCAGCACAGCGGUUCCAAGGAAGGGCGAGAGUGCACCGGUUUCUUGGAGGUUGGGUGGAGGGUGGAGUGGAGGGAAUUGGGAGCAGGUCGGGACGACAAGAGCGUGGUGGGGGAGGUCGAGGCGCAGAGGUGGUGGUGCUGAGGCGUACCGACAAUGGCAGCGCCAGCGGAGUCCGCGUAUGGGUUGGGAGGCAAUGAGCAGCUGAAAACCGCGAGCAUCGACGAGGUCGUUCGGCAAGGACCCAAAGUUGUGACGGGGUUGUCGGCGGAGGAGGGCGUGGGAGUGGACGGGCAGAAUGGGAGCGAGGCGGGCCCGGAAGGCAAAGAGGGCGAGGCCCAUGGCGAGGAGCAAGUAGCGAAGAAGCCGAGACUGGAGAAGGAGGAGAACGGUGGCACAGAAGAGUCUGUGGAAGGUGUGGCGGCCAAGGAGGACGCGGAACACCACAACGGCAACGGCGUGGCGAAGGCGGAGGAGAGGAACGGCGAGGGAGACGAGGAGGAGCAGAACGACGACGAGGGCGACGUGGUGGGUGCGGAAGAGGAGGAGGAGGAGGAGGAAGGCACGGACGGUGCAGGAGCGACCGGGAAGGAGGAGGGUGGGGACGGGGGUCUUCGGACGCUGCUGCAAGAGGGCGAAGGCAAGAAGAGCAGCGUGGCGAAGAAGGGCGCGGACGCGAGUCACGUGUUGAACGGAGCGUAGGCGGAAGUGGAGUGGAGGGGUGGUUGGAUUUUGUGCAUCAUCGUCGGGGGUUUUUUUUUUUUUUUUUCUUUUGAUGUAAAGAGACAUUUGUGUGAAGGGGGCAUCGGGCCAGCAGUAGUGGCUAUUUUCGAAGAUGAGUGCAGUAGGUCCUUCUUGUAUAACACGGGACGUCCCAUGAAUGAAUCAAUGUGUUCGUUGCCUACCGAUUGCACCCAAGUCUGGCAUGUACAAUUGUGUUGCACCGAUGUUGGGACUGAACAUGCAUCUAUGUCUUUUAUUCUGCAGUUGGUAUGGUGGUGACAUGCCUUCUCUCUUCGCUUACCGUCAGCUCCCAGAUUUGACUUGAGGCGAAAAGAAGCUCUGUUGACGUCCGAUCGUCAGCACGAUGGCGAGUUCUUCGGAGUCCUGUGAUCCUAACGUUAUCGAGUCCCCUUAUCUAGGAUCGCUUCAUUGUAUCAAGUUGAAGGUUAUGAUAGACAUUAUGUCAGUGACUUUUUUGUAGUGUUGUCAUGUCUUCUGUUUGAACUAACGCCCCGGUUGCGUGUCCCUCUUACAUAUGAUGAUUUGACUGUAGCGAUUUUCCGGGGAGUUUGAUGGAACUGUCAUACCGGCUUGUCAUGGGGGCGUAUAUCUUAUAAAAGUUACCUUAGUUAGCCUUCCAAAGUGAAUUUUUUGGGUUCCAGAAUUUUUAUUCUCGUUCCCCUAUUUACCUCACUCUCGGUACAAGUUCACCUCUUUAUUUUCUUUUUUACUCCUCAAAGGAAAUGGCAAUAUUCUUCCACAAGUGGACAGAGAAAGGUUUUGCUGAACACUAGAUAAUAGAUUCCCGAAUUUAUUACGCGUUCUCGGGGUCAAAUUAUCUUCAGGAUACUUUUGCGCGUAAACUUUUUGCACCGAUUUCAGUUUUAAUGGCCUUAAUAUUAGCGUGUUCUUUCUUAGUGUAUGUGUAUGAAUGGCAAGCUGACUGCAUCGGUUGGCCUACGUGGAAGCUGGGGAGCAGAAUCUUUUGGUUGAAGAACACACCAAUUUAGUGUUCCGUGUUUCGCGUGUUGAAUAUAAUUCAAUACUCGAGCUUCCCGUCGUUACGGCGGAAUUUGGAUGGCGUCAACUAAAUCUUGUUCGGUUUUCUACACUACUAUCUUUGUCUUUCUUGAUGGCUUCCAUGUACUUCUUUGGCACUUUCAUUCAUGUUAUCCUUCGCUUGACUCUAUUUAAAUAAGUCACUUGACCUUUGGGUAGUCACUGGUGGGGACCCCGUGUCUCAUUCGCUCGCAUUUCCUGUGUGUGUGCCAAAGAUUGGUCUACGAGUGGCACAGUGCGAAUUUGCUCGUUGUGCGACUCAUCAGCAUUUUUGGUGUUCAGAUACACGAUAUUAAUUUAGAGCUACGAAGCGACACUGUAGCUUUUUAGUUCUCUUUUGUCGUCAGUAUGCUUAAUCAUGGCAUUACUCGUCCAUAUCAACUUACCAGCUCGACUGAAGGCACUUCCACUGAAGGUUUCAAACGGGAGCAGCGUAAAAUCAUCAGGAAAAAGUUUUAACGCUUAUUUUUAGCAUGUCCCGAUUUUUACCUUGCAUGAGAGUGGCAUGUUCAGGAGGAUAAUGAUUGGCAAUCUCCGACACGAACUUAGAGACAAAGAUAAAGAAAUAAUAAUAAAGGAAAAAAGAAGAAGGUGACAGGCCACUUUCCGAUCAUGUCCUGAUUUAGUGUUGAUGAUUGUGCACUACGUCGUGUGAUGGAACCAGUGAAGAAAUGACUCUACGUUGUGGGAUGUGGACAUGUGCUAGUCCGGAUUCGAGUAAUUUAGUGUACUUGCUUUUGUUGUUGACACAUGUGUCGCAUGGGCAAGAUCUGCUGCGCUUGACUCACACUUUGGGAUCUGAGGAGCACAUAAACUAUUGGGUACCCCCAUAAAUAUUACACUGACCAACGUGGGAGAUACAAUUGCUGGGUAUCAUUACAAUUGUUGCGGACCACCAUCUGUCCACAGUUGCUCGUUUACUGGUUUUGCAGAACAGUUACUAGCUUCAUUAUCCAGGGCGUGACUAAAACAAACUUACAAAAAUAAAUUUCUCACGUCUUAGUGCAGGAUUUGUGCGGUAAAUAGUUAGUCACUCAUGUCCCUUCACCGGAUUCGCCUUGUCUGCAAUAUAUUACCCCGUUUUUUUUAUUCCAUUUUUAAAACCGAGUUGCUGGAGUUAUCCAGUUUGCUUGAGAAGUAUUCAUUCGAAGUGGGGAAUCGGAUUAGAAUGAGGAUUUUAAUGAGGUGUACACAAAUUGGUUCAAACUAAAUUAUGGUACAGUUUGAGUUGUCGGUUGAAGCCUUUGUUCCUUUGUCUUUUUUCAUAGUAUUUUCAAACUUUGAUUCUUGAAAGCGGAAAGGUUUUUUUUGUAAGAAAUUCUUUAAUUAAAUUUCGUGUUCUUUCUUAAAUCUCCAGUCUUUCUUUCCCUAAUAAUAACAAGCAUUUAGUACUCUUCUUGAUGUGCAAGUGUUUAAAACAAAAGUUUGUGGUAAUUUUUCGGGGUGGGGUGGGGGGUGAGAUGAUGAUGACAAAUCCAAAAGUUUGAAUCACUUCAUACUUGGGAGAUUGUUUUUGAUGCCCAAUAAAUAUUGUUGGAAAUUUGUCCUAAUUCAACGUUGAUUUUAUAAUGCCAAAUUUUCGAUUUAAAUGUUUUUUAAAAUGUGUUACCUUAGAUCAUCUGCUCAAUGCUUAAGAAUGUUCCCAAACCAGCUUUUCUGAUUCUUUUUAAAGUAUUCGUUUUCUAUACUCUAAAUUGGGAGAGUAAGGUAUUUGCAAAAAUUCAUGCUUUUGUGUCGGAUGCAUAUUUUUAUUGUUUUCCACUUGUUUUAGUCCAUUUUUUCAAGAAGGUUAUGUCCCUGUGAAUUUUUUACAGAUUCACUUAAGUAUUUGGCUUUCAUUUAUUAUUCCUUUAGGAAUGCAGUAUUACUUCUUUGGACCUUAUUAAAAAGAAUUCAGGUAUAACAUUGGAUCCAUAUCCAUGGAAUAAUUUUAGGAUUUUGAUAGUGCAAUCGUAAAUCAAGUUACUUUUCCAUGGUUUGACUUGAAUUUUACAAAUUGUUAAUUUUUGCAGUCAUCCUUUUGCUUCAUCUCAAUUUAUUGUAUCAUUUUUUCAACAUAUUUGAAAUAGCUUUAGCUCAAUAUUCUUAUUUGUAUUAAUACAGAAGCUUCACAGAAUCAAUUUAGUAGUCAUUCACAAUCUAGUGCCUUUGUUUAAACUAGGUGUUUUCAAAUAAAUAAAUACAAAACAAAAAAAAAAAAACACACACACACACACACAACUCAAAUCAAUACAAGACUAUUUGUAUAUCCCAUAUUUACAAUGAAGAAACAUCUCGCCAGACCAAAUGUGGACAACCACUGUUGUGGAUUGCCCCAAUUCAUCAGCAAUGGGGGUAUGUUUUUGUGUUUCAAGUCUUGUAUCCAAAGAGAAAGCCACAACAAAAUUGUCUACAUAAUGAAACAAGUGCACACAAAUGGUUUUCUCUUUUUUCUUUUUUGGCACAAGUGAAAAUAAAUUUCAUUGUAGGGAGUAACCAAUAUAGAACUGGUUUAGAAUAGAAUUAAAAAAAUCCUAGACCAGCUGACUUGGACUAAUGACUAGAAAUAAAAGUAGUAAUACAACCCUUGAACUAGGGUAGAUAAGUUAACUUAGAUGCUGAGAACUAUUGAGAUCAUUAAAUGUAGCUGACACUCUCCACAAUAUUUAAUGUAGACUACAGUAAAUACCAUAGCUAUAGUAUUUAGAGUCUAGUGGAGAAGUAUUGUUUAUCCUCUCCUCUUUUCUCUUCUUGUAUACGAGACACAACUAGAUCAAUAGAUUUUGAGUGUGUGAAGCUCUCUCUCCUUAGAAACCCUCUUGUGUGUAUGACUUACUACUUCUCUUGUGUGUGUGUAUGACUUACUAUUACUCUUGUGUCUUUCUAAACAUUCUCAACAUGUUAUCAGCACGACUCUCUUCUACACACUAUCACAAUUUUUUGCUCUAGUCUUUGACUCUUCAAACCUCUUGCUAUCCUUGCUCAAUAUCUGCGUCAUGAUCUUAUUCUUCUUGCUGGCCCCUCACACAUUAGCUGCUUGCUUAGAGCGCUUGUUCCACUCCCUACCUUGCUUGCUCUGAAUACUUGAUCCAGUCCAACUCUAUCCUCUGCUUGCUCCCUGCUGCUCUGCUUGCUCCCUGCUCCCUGCUCCCUACUGCGCCCCGCACCUGUCGCCGAACUGCCAUCGAGCUACCGCCAAAUCCACCGCUGCCACCCUGUUGCCGCUAACACUACCGCCCGUUGUCCGCCGCCAUCUACCGUCGCUGCAUGCCGCUGCCGUAUUGUUGUCUGCUGCUUAAUCUACAACUCUCUCUUUAAAAAAAAAAAAUAAAAAAAAAUAAAUAAAUAAAAUUAUAUAUUUUUAUUUUUUCAAGUUCAAGUUUAUCAUUUUAUUUGACUUUAUAUUUUUAGAAAAGACAGCAGCUGCAUCUGAUGUGACUCUAGAGGAUCCCUUCUUUACAGAUUAUUAUAAUGAGUGCUUCAACAUCUCAACUGCUCUACUAUGGUCCAACUAUUACGAGUGCAUCCCAACAUUUCAAGCUCUUUUAUUUCCACCAUUGACUGUGGAUGGAAACAAUUAUCUAUUAUGGACAAAAAUAGCAAAAGUAAAUUUAUUUACAGAACAACUCUCGGAUACCAUUAUGUUUGAAGAAUCUCCUAUAACAAGUAUUUCUAUACCUCUUGCUAUUCGUUGAAAAGCACUUCUUCUCCUUCGUCGUCAUCUUGUACUUGCAUUACAACAUCAAUAUUUGGAAAUGGAAGAUCCUGUAGAACUUUGGAAGAAUCUUAAAUUUAGGUUUGAUCAUCAAAAGACCAUUUCUCUUCCACGUGCAUGUCAUAAUUGGACACAUUUACGUGUCUUGGAUUUUCUAAAUUUAAAUGCUUUUAAUAGUGAAAUGUAUAGUAUUGUCUCACAAUUACGAUUAUGUGGACAAAGCAUUUCUAGAGAAGAAAUGAUUGAGAAAACUCUCUCUACAUUUUCUCCUGUAUUUGCUAUACUUGCACAACAAUACAGGAAUAUGAAAUUUCAGAGUCAUUCUAAUCUCAUGUCCUAUCUACUUCUUGCGAAGAAGCAAAAUGAGCUACUCUUGCACAAUGCGGAAGCUCGUCCUAUUGGAACUACAGUUCCAGAAUCUCAUGCAUUUAAUAUUUCAAAGUCUAAAAAGAAAUUAUAUAAACAUGGGAAACGUGCUCAUAAGUAUCAGGGUAGUCAUAGUCAAGACCAUUUCUAUCCAUAUGGAAAGAAUAAAUGUUCUACUAUUAAUUAUAGUAGAAAACAAAAAUCAGAGAUGCGUUCUUGCCAUAAGUGUGGAAUGAUUGGACAUUUAGCACAUGCAUGGCGUACUUCAAAAUAUUUUAUUAAAAUAUUCCAAGAAAAUAAGAAAUUGCGAGCUGAGGCUCGUGAAGUUCAUACUAUGGAUGCAUCUAUGCAUUCAAUUGGUGUUGAUGACUUAGAAGCUUAUAUGAAUGAUAGAACCUCUAAUGAUGAAUCAAAUGAUGCGCUCAUUGAUUCUGCAACAAUACAUACUAUCUUGCGAGAUAGAUGAUUUUUUAUUGAAAAAUCUUCAACUUGGCAAACUAAAAAUAUGAUAACCAUGGCUGGAGCAAAUGCGUUUUGUUUCCAAGAGGGCACAGCAAUGGUAAAAUUACCUGUAGGUUCCAUCAUAAAAUGUAAACAAGCAAUGUUUGUACCCUCAGCACCUCGGAGUCUGAUCAGCUACCGAGAUGUGCAUAUUGAUGGUUAUCACCUCUCGACCGCCACUUUAAAUAAAAAAGAGGUUUUGGUUCUUGCGAAGAACCAUAAAGUUGUUGAAAAAGUUUUUGCUAAAGAAAAUGAUUUAUACCGAAUUGUGAUUUGGCCUUCCAUUAUAUUUAAUUUUGCAUCAUCUAUCUCAGAGAGUCAUGUUUUUCUCUGGCAUAGACGAUUGAGACAUCCAAGAUCCACAUUAUUUAGAAAGAUCAUUCCAUGUAUAACUGGGCACAAUUUAAAGCCUACAUAUGUAGACUCUAGAAAAUUAUGUCGUGUAUGUGUGCAAGGUAAAAUGAUUACUCGGCCUUCAAUUUAGAAACUUCCACAAGAAUUGCCACCAAUGCUUGAAAGAUUGCAUGGUAAUAUUUGUGGUCCUAUUAAUCCAAUAUUAUGACCAUUUUGUUAUUUUUUGGUCCUUGUUGAUGCAUCAGGUAAACAAUCACAUGUUUCAUUAUUAUCAACUCAAAACAUGGUGUUUGCCAAUCUUAUAUCUAUGCUUAUUCGCUUUCGGGCACAUUUUCCUGAUUAUCCUAUAAAAACAUUGCAUAUGGAUAAUGCAAAAGAAUUUGCAUCAAAGUCUUUUGAAGACUAUUGUACUGCAACAGAAAUUGAAUUGACAUAUUGUGUUCCAUAUGAAUAUGCUCAAAAUGGACUUGCAGAAUCAUUUAUAAAGCGUAUACAACUCAUUACCCGGCCACUCCUCCUUCAGGCAAAUCUAUCUACAUCUAUGUGGGGUCAUGCAAUUUUACAUGCUGCAGCAUUAAUAUGUCUCCGCCCUUCUUCUCUUGAACUUGUUUCACCACAUGAGCUCAUUUCGGGUCGUGUUCCAAAUGUAUCUUACUUACGAAUAUUUGGUUGCUGUGCUUGGAUUCCAAUACCAAAACCUCAAUAGCGUACCAUUCGAGCUCAUCGACAAGAAGGCAUAUAUGUUGGUUUUGAUUCACCAAGCAUUCUUUGUAUUGUAGAUCCAUCAAUUGGCACAUUAUUACGUGCACAUUUGCAAAAUUGCCAUUUUGAAGAAAAUGUAUUUCCAUCUCUUCAAAGAAGAAUAUCCAAUCAACAAAGAAAUAAAGUACUCAUAUUUGAAGCUUUAGAAACGUUUACAAUGAAUCCCGAUCCUAAGACAUCUUUGGCAAAAACUGAAGUUACUAAGAUUUUACAUUUAAAACGGAUCGCGGAUGAAACACCCGAUGGCUUCGAUGAUGCACCUAGAAUUACAAGAGUUCCUAUUAAUGAGGCUCAGAAUGCACCUGCUCAGAUUGCAGUGCCAUUGACUACAAUACCUCAAGUUAUAACAACAACAAUUAAAAGAACUCGGGAACCAGAUAAGUAACCACGUAAGAAGAAAGUUAUAAAAUUAACUAAUUCUGGUAUUAUUUCUUAAGAAAUUGCCAUUCAUCUUGCAAGACUACCAAUUCAUGAUGAUAUAUCCAUGCAUAAUGUACCUUCAAUUUCUAUGAAAAACAAUCUUGGAAUUGGAAGGAAUAAGAACAAGUUGAGUAAAGAAUUAUCUAUUCUGUAUUGUGUUACAGAUGAUAUUUGGGACAAACCAUCUAUUACGGUAGAUGAAUCAUUUGCAUAUAUGAUUAUAGAAGCCCUUUCUUGUGAGGAAGACGAUCCUGAACCUCAAACCAUCGAAGAGGCGAUGCGUUGCUCAGAUUGGUCAAAAUAGAAAACUGCUAUUGAGGAGGAGUAUGCCUCUUUGCGUAAGAAGAAAGUCUUUGGUCCAAUUGUAGAUACUCUUACAUCUCGCCCUGUGGGAUAUAAAAUGGUAUUAAUAUGCAAGUGAGAUGCUCAAGGCCAAAUAACCCGCUAUAAAGCUCGUCUUGUUCCUCAAGGAUUUACUCAAUGAUUUGGCAUUGAUUAUGAAUCCACAUAUUCUCCAAUCAUGGAUUCAAUUAUAUUUCGAUAUAUUAUUGGAAUGACAGUUCAUGCCACCCUUGAGAUGCAUCUGAUGGAUGUAGUUACUGCAUAUCUAUAUGGUUCUCUUGAUGCAAAUAUUUAUAUGAAAGUUCUACCUGGCUUAAAAACAGAAACUCCAAAUCAACCCGCUCCAGGAAAAUAUCGUGGUAUUAAAUUAUGUAAGGCCUUGUAUGGUUUAAAACAAUCUGGACGUAUGUGAUAUCAACGUCUUCGAGAUUAUUUAAUUACAAAUAAUUUUAUAAGUGAUCCACUAAUCCCUUGUUUGUUUAUCAAACAAGAUAAAACUGGUUUUGUGGUCAUCGCUGUAUAUGUUGAUGAUCUUAACCUAGUGGGCACUACAUCUGCAUGUGUUAUAACUACUAACCUACUUAUACGUGAAUUUGAGAUGAAAAUGCUAGGAAAAACAACUUUCUACAUUGGUCUUCAGAUUAUGCAUCUAACAGAUGCUAGCAUUUUUUUCUACCAACUAACAUAUAUUAGACGAAUCUUGCAAAGAUUUAAUAUGAUUGAUGCUUAUCCAUUGUCCACACCAAUGGUUGGACAUGGUCGUGAUGGUCAUGAUCCAUACCGUCCAUGCGAGGAGGAGGAGGAAAUAUUGGGAGACCAAUAUCCAUACCUCACAACGGUUGGAGCACUUUUAUAUUUAGCUACAUCUACAAGACCAGAUAUUGCAUUUGCAAUUAGUGUUCUUGUAAGACAUAGUGCACGUCCGACACUACGACAUUGGAAUGGCAUCAAAUAUUUAUUACAUUAUUUAAAAGAUACUGAAGACUUGGAAUUAUACUACACAAAAUCCGCAGAUCCAAAAUUGGUUGGAUAUUGUGAUGUAGGAUAUAAAUUUGAUAUUGCAAUAGCUAAAUCUCAAAUAGGAUAUGUAUUUUUAAGACAUAGAGCUACAAUAUCAUGGAAAUCAGUGAAACAAACAAUAACUGUAACUUCAUCCAACCAUGCAGAAAUUAUUGUCUUAUAUGAAGCAUCUCGAGAAUGUAUUUGGUUGCAAUCAAUUGAUAAAUUCAUUCAAACAACCUGUGGAUUUUCAUAUGAUGAUUCUCCAACUAUCUUGCAUGAAGAUAAUAGUGCUUGUAUUGCACAGAUGCAAGUUGGUUUCAUUAAAGACAACAUGACAAAGUAUAUUGAUCCAAAGUAUUUUAGUUAUACUCAUGACUUGAUUACUGAUCAAGCACUUAUAAUUAAGAAAAUUGAAUCUACAAAUAACCUUGCUGAUCUCUUCACCAAAGCUCUUCCAUUAAGCAACCAUCGUCGACUUACUUAUGGCAUUGGUAUGAGGCAACUUACUUUUCUUGAAUAUGAAAGUUAACAAGCUCUUUAAAUAAUUAAAUAAAAUGAUGUUGUACUCUUUUUCCUUCAUCUAUGGUUUUGUCCUUAAAUAAAAUAAGAUUUACCUAGAUAAGAUUUUAAUAAGGCAACAAUUCUUGAUCUUGCAAGAUCACAGAAAAGUAUAGAUCAUGAUUCUAUACAAAUUUUAUAUUAUGUAAAUAUUAUGAUGGGCGAGGAGGAGUGUUGAGAUCAUUAAAUGUAGCCGACUCUCUCCAUAAUAUUUACUGUAGACUACAUUAAAUACCAUAGCUACAGUAUUUAGAGUCUAAUGGAGAAGUACUGUUUAUCCUCUCCUCUUUUCUCUUCUUGUAUAUGAGACACAACUAGAUCUAUAAUUUUUGAGUGUGUGAAGCUCUCUCUCCUGAGAAACCCUCUUGUGUGUAUGACUUACUACUACUCUUAUGUGUGUAUGACUUACUACUACUCUUAUGUGUGUAUGACUUACUAUUACUCUUGUGUCUUUCUAAACAUUCUCAACAAGAACUAAAACUAUGCCAAUGUAUUCUAUUAUCCAUCUUGGUGCAGAGCAUCUGGUUUUUUUCCCUUGUAUCAUCAAAGUGUUAAAAAUUGAAUUCUACCGGGGCUUCAUUAUCCUUUGUGGAUAAUUGAUUCCAUUCAAUGCAACCAUAAUCAUGUAAAUAUUGCCGUAUCCUAGAUGUAGUUUGUUUUAGAGACCAUUCUUUGACAUUAAAAUACCAUUGUGUUUUUAUUCAAGCCAAAGUUUCCAUGGGUAACUCCUCAUAACAAUGUCCAAAUGAGAUUAAACUUCCCAAAUUGCUCAGGUAGAGGUUUGGAGAAUAAGAAUUGCUGCCAACCAAAUGUAAGUGGGUUCGCCAGAGUACUUGGCUUCUUUUCCAGUGCUUGAAGAAGAGAGCUGCACCACCACCAUGUACACACUCCUUUUGCACAAUCACAGAACCUAUGCAAGAUGGUCUCUCAGUGCCUGGGCAGAAUGGGCAUGACAAGCCUGUAUUGGGAUAAUUUUGCCCCUCCAGUGGUUGCACAUGAAUGGUUCCACAUAAACCAAGGGAAGACCAGGGCUCUUCAGUUAACAUCGCAGACAAUGUACAUGAAGGACUGCACCACGACAUGUGUGGCAGUUUUUAUCAUACUAAAUUGCCAACCAGCGUCGAUUCCGGUGCAAAGAUCUGGAAAAGGAGUUAAUUGGCGCCUAGGGAAGUUUCGCAGAACCGAGGCGAGCUUCAUAAAAGUACGGGCAGCAGCACGAGGACGGAACGUGGGAAAAGCGAUUUCAUCCUCGACAUGGGAUUCUGGUCCCAAUCCACCGCGUCUCCCAACGUCUUGCAAAAGGCACCUGUUUCUCAUCCAGAAACAGAGGAGUUGGAACUGGAACACCACCAGAUUACAUGUCUCACCUGGCCUGCGAGAUGAAGUCUCUCGUUUAGGAACUUCCUCACGUUCAUCCGUGCACAGUACAUAAAUUAUGUACCGAGGUGAAAUCCAACGAGAAUAUCUGGAGCGAAUCGACGAGGCGGUUUCAGAAUUGUAUAAUAAAUAACUACGUGCAGCAGCUUCGAGGUUCUGCAAUCUGUAGCUUAAAAUAGCACACCAUGAACAUAGCGCUUUUAACCACUCAGAAGAAAGUACCUCUAAGAGAUGGGACUUCAAGCAUCUACCCGAUUUGUUUCUUUCUAUAUUUAGUGCACAUUGUACGUGUAAUAUGCCUGCAGACAACAUCAGGACUAAUCGUUAAGAGAUAAAACGAGAUACACAGAAAACCCCAAACGUCAUCUACUACCAUUAUUCCGACUUGUUAACUUAAUCAUCGCUGCUCAGGGAAGGUUGCAGAGAACCCCAAAGCAUGAAACUCUAAUGUAUACUAGUCCUGAAAUUCCAUUCCAUGAACUGUUCUUCGAACAGCUAGUUUCUAUAUAACAGCCAGAAUAAACUUGACAAACAGCCCACUUCAUAAGUCCCGCACAUCAAUAAACAAGAAUAAGUGUGCGAUACCUUUUGAACGCAACUUCAGUACGAUAGAUGACUCGAAAAUUGAGCAAAUAGAUGUAUGUGCAUCAGAAAUGCCAAGCUCAAGUGCAAUCGGUAGGCAACGAACACAUUGAUUCAUUCAUGGAACGUCCCGUGUUAUACAAGAAGGACCUACUGCACUCAUCUUCGAAAAUAGCCACUACUGCUGGCCCGAUGCCCCCUUCACACAAAUGUCUCUUUACAUCAAAAGAAAAAAAAAAAAAAAAAAAAACCCCCGACGAUGAUGCACAAAAUCCAACCACCCCUCCACUCCACUUCCGCCUACGCUCCGUUCAACACGUGACUCGCGUCCGCGCCCUUCUUCGCCACGCUGCUCUUCUUGCCUUCGCCCUCUUGCAGCAGCGUCCGAAGACCCCCGUCCCCACCCUCCUUCCCGGUCGCUCCUGCACCGUCCGUGCCUUCCUCCUCCUCCUCCUCCUCUUCCGCACCCACCACGUCGCCCUCGUCGUCGUUCUGCUCCUCCUCGUCUCCCUCGCCGUUCCUCUCCUCCGCCUUCGCCACGCCGUUGCCGUUGUGGUGUUCCGCGUCCUCCUUGGCCGCCACACCUUCCACAGACUCUUCUGUGCCACCGUUCUCCUCCUUCUCCAGUCUCGGCUUCUUCGCUACUUGCUCCUCGCCAUGGGCCUCGCCCUCUUUGCCUUCCGGGCCCGCCUCGCUCCCAUUCUGCCCGUCCACUCCCACGCCCUCCUCCGCCGACAACCCCGUCACAACUUUGGGUCCUUGCCGAUCGACCUCGUCGAUGCUCGCGGUUUUCAGCUGCUCAUUGCCUCCCAACCCAUACGCGGACUCCGCUGGCGCUGCCAUUGUCGGUACGCCUCAGCACCACCACCUCUGCGCCUCGACCUCCCCCACCACGCUCUUGUCGUCCCGACCUGCUCCCAAUUCCCUCCACUCCACCCUCCACCCAACCUCCAAGAAACCGGUGCACUCUCGCCCUUCCUUGGAACCGCUGUGCUGCUAAGAACAAGCAAAGCAUGCAUACACAGUCCCACGAUGAAUGGGAACCUUACUCGCACACACUCACACACGCACACAGAAGGAGAGAUAGAGAAACGGGGACACAGACAGACAGACAGACAGUCUGACAGAAACGAAGAGCGGGCACGCGCGUGCUUGCACGCGUGCGUAGGAAUGGGUAAGCGACUCUCACUGCAGGAAAAUAUGUAAAACGGGGAUGCGAGAGAGAGAGAGAGAGAAACCGACGAGAGAACCUUCGGCAAUGGAGGUGGUGUUGGUUAUGAAGGGGGAGAGCGUGGAGAAGGAAGACGGAGAGAGCGAGAGCGAGAGAGAGCGCGGGAUCCGACCCACCGUCGCUGCGGGUGUUGCAACUGCUGCGGCGCCACUUGGCGCGGCGCAUGCUCCUGGGUGGGUGGGUGGGUGGCUGGCUCCGACGAUCGUCGACGAUCGUCGAGGAUCGUGGAUCCUCCUCCGCCCCCACCCAUCCCUCGCGCUCCCCGUGCUCCCUCUACUACCACUUCCCUCUCCUUCCCUUCCCUCGGCGCUGCGCAGCUCGGCUCACCACUGCUCCCCCUCCUCCUCCUCCUCCUCCUCCUCGUCUGAACGCAGCCCCGGGUGAAGUGAAGCGCAGCGAGCGAGGGACAGACGGACGGACGGACGGAGGGACGGAGGGCCAGUGCAGGGAGCGAGGUCGUUCAGCAGCCAUGGCUGCCGCGGCUGCGGCUGCGGCGGCUGCUAUUGUUACGAUGUUGAUGUUGGUGAUGAUGAUUCUGCUCUCAACCUGGCACUCUUCUGGAAUCCUCCCGCUAUCCCGCCCGGCACAUCCCGGGCGGGAGUGCGCACGAGAGUAAUGGUGCGGGGCAGGGCUGGGCAGGGGGAGGGCAGGCCUACAUGGCAGUGUGGGGGCAGGGUAGUUAUCCGUUUGUAAUGUGGGGGUGGGUUCCGAGGAAUGUGCAUGGUAGUUCCGUGUGUUUGCACGUCAGCUUUUUUUUUUUUUUUUUUUUUUUUUUUUGCAGGUUUUUGGUAGCAACGGGAGUCAGUGACAUUCUUCUGUGCGACUACCACAUUCUUUGUUGUGCACCACUACCCCCUGUAACUCCUGUUCUAACUCUUGUUCUCUUUAUCUGCUUGGCUUUGGCACUCCUCUUGGAGUUGGCUUUUUGCUUGUAAUUGUUGGAACCUCUUGUUCCAACAUUUUAGUGUUUGUUAUUGUAUUGUUUGAUGAUUGACAUGUAUAUUUUCCACAUACACCUUUGUUUGUUUGUAAGGAAGUUUUAUGUUAGACAAUCUUAAGAUGUAAAUUUGUGACCUAUUGUUUUAUAAUUUUGUUGAUUAUGAUGUUUGCAAAUCUUCAUGUUAUUAAAACACUAGCUUUUAAAUAUAGCCUCGUAAGGCUGUACUUUUUUUCGUUGUUUUAUAAGAUGCUGUGUUAAUGACUUGAAUUUAUUUCCUUAGAAUAUCAUUUUCGAUUUUCAAUUUUCAAUUUUUGUUUACAAGUAGAAAUUUCUGAAUAUUUUUUUAAAAUUUGCUAUGGCAUUUUGAAUUUCUCCUACAUUUUAAAUUAUUUUCUUGUUUGAUACAGGCACACAUUUCAGUCUGUAAAUCAAAAAACCAAGUAGAUUUGUAAGCUUAGAUUAUAACCAAAGUGAGAUCACGUGUACUCUGUUAAUUGUGUUUACAAUAUUUACCUGAAAAGCAAAGAAAAGAAAGUAAUGGGAGAAAGUAAAAAGCCUACGUUUAACAAUAUUAGUGAAUUCAGUUCAUACUAUGAAUUGAACCAUAAUGAGUCUUGUUUUAUACUUGAAGAUAAAUGGAAAUCCAAUUGGAUUUGGUAUUACAACAUUUCUCUCUCUCUCUCUCUCUCUCUCUCUCUCUAUAUAUAUAUAUAUAUAUAUAUUAUUCAUUUACUUCAUUUCUCAUUCUCUCUCUAUAUAUAUUUACAUCUUGAGGUCAUUUAUUUACUUCAUUUCUAUACAUAUAUAUAUAUACAUACAUACAUGGAGUUUAAUAUCAAAGUUUUAAAAAUAUUAAAUGUAACAUAAUAUUUUUAAGCAAAUUAUGUUGCAAUAUCCUAUUAAAUUAUAACUAUGUGUUAUACAAUCAUUAUCUAUAUUUUGUUUAAAUUCAUUAGAGCUAAACACAACAUAAGUUAUAUUUUAUUAAAAAUAAUUUUUUAAUGUAAAUUCAUAUAUCUUGAAGUACUACACAUAAUAAAUAUAUUCAAACAGAGAUGUUUGAAAAGUAUAAAUUUACAAUCAUUAGUUUUAUUAUUUAAUCCAAUUUUUUUUCACAAUCUGUACAAGUUACUAAAAUUGGAUUAAAUAAUAAUUAAAAAAUUAAAUGUAUAGUACCAAGUAUCACAAGUUUUGCCAAUCUUGUCUCUAAAUUGUAGAUUUUUUAAGAACCACAAUUACACACAUGCCUUGCAUCCAAUGAACAUCUCAAUUCUUUUAACCAUAUUUAAAUAAUAAAAUAAGCCCCUAAUCUAUGAACUCAUUACAACUUGUUUAAUACUUGGUAUAAAAUUCUAUUCAUGUUCAAGAUCUUGACUAACAAUUUUUUAAUUUUAACUUCACAUAAUACUUAAAUAUUACUUCACCAAUCACUCCACUAAUCACUUUUCAUGUCGAUUCCAUGAUCAUUUUUAGUCUAAAAGUGAAAGAAGAUAUCAUAGAAAUACGAUCAUUCCAUGAACUCACAAGCACAAGUAAAUGAAGUGCAUGAAAACCACAUUACCCCCACAAUUCGUGGGAAGAUGAAUAUAUAAGAAUAUUCCUCCUCCGCCCCACCUCGGAAGACACGCUAGCUCGCUUCGUAUUUUCAUGCGUUGGAAUGUGUGCAGCGCUACUAGGACCACGUCGCGCAGUCUCCGCCUCCAGCUUCGAAGCUCGUGGCGCGAGCUAAGAUUUCAGGUCUCUUACGAGUUUUUCCGGGCUGCCAAGCCCCUUCAGAUUGAAUUGUAAGGGUCGAGAGGAAGAGUUCUGGUUGUGGGCAUCGUUGGUCGCAGCUCGUCGCCAUGGCGGUCUCUUGUCGAUUGCAAUCGCCAUUCCUAUCCUCUGUCUCUUCCCCUCUAUCCGCCUCAACGUCGUCAAGCAGCCACCAGAAUGUGGAGCUACCGCUUGCCAGAAUAGAGUCGCAAGUUCGCUGCGUUCAGCUUCCCAAAGGGUGCAGUACGAGCCGGCGACCACAAUUGAGAGUAUGUGCUGAAUUAGGCGCAAGUAGUGAACAGGCUGUGGAUCUGAAUGAUUCCGUGUCUGCUUCAGAGUCGGGGAAGAGCGGUGAAAUUGCUGUUCAGACUGGGUAAUUGGAUUUGGCUGCAUUUGUUGCUCUGAUUUUAGGUUAUGGGCUUCAUUGAUUGGGAUGAAUUUUAUUUGGAAAUGAGUUGAGGGGAGCAUGUGCACGGAUUUGUUCGAGAAUUACAUACAGGGAAGAUCGGAGAUACUUGCGACUGAAUUCAGAAAGCUAUGGUUGGGGAAGCGAGUCCUCCGUCAAAUUAGGGCUGUAAAUUGCUGUUACGCUGUUGGAACUCGCGGUUUCUGAAGGUGGGUAGUAGGAGUGGGACAUGUAAUGCAGAACGUGGAAGUGGCGAGAGCACAAUAUACGAUAUCAGCGCGCCGGCGGUUCUGGACCAGCAGUAGUCCUCAUCCAUGGGUUCGGGGGUAACUGGUAGGUGUAACGAAAAACUUCGCCUCAUUGGUAAAGCCUGACUUCGUAUUUCCAUGUAAGACCAUUGCAAUGUCAAAUUGGUCAUUCCCAGAGCGUACACUCAGAACAAAAAAGGCGAGAUUCAAAAUUUUCAGAAAGUGGAGAACACGAUUUUAUUUUCUUUUCAUUGAAUCACAUGUGAUUCAGGAUAUUGUCAUGGGAACAAUGAAAUGUCCGGCACUGGUUCUCAAUCGCAAUGUACCACUGAAUGUCCCAGUCUAAGCGGGGUAUUGCACGGCAGCACUACUUUACAAUGUGUAUUGUGAGGAUGGUGUAGGUUUUGAUCCGAAUUCCAGCUUGUUUCUUAUUAUCCCGUGUUGAUAAUUUGGUGUUGUGUUUGAAAUUACGUAGAUAUAAAUUGUGUUUCUGACAGAUAGAAUGUUUCUGGGGAACCAAAAGAUAAUUAUUUCAUGGAUUGCAAGUGGUGGUGAUCAACUCUCUUUUGUUGAGAUUUGGCAGUGAUCACUGGCGAAAGAACAUUCCAUACCUGGCCAAGUCGCAUCGAGUUUUUGCCAUCGAUCUUCUGGGGUACGGGUUUUCUGACAAGCCCAAUCCACGUGACCAACCACCCAACACCUUAUACUCAUUUGAGACAUGGGGCAGUCAAAUUUUGGACUUCUUAUCUGAUGUCGUUAAUGAUCGGGCGUUCCUUAUUUGCAAUUCUGUUGGUGGUAAUCUUCUAGACGCCUUUGCGGUUAACAUAUCACUGUAAUCCUGCGUUCUGUCGUUUCUAUUUUUGUGUCGUUUAAUGCUCCACCUGUAAACUACUUUGUAGUUCCGAGGCUUGCAUCUUACUGUAGAUUGUUUGAGGUUUCAGGGGUAGUAGGUUUAGAAGCCUCCCUGAAAGACCCACAGAAGGUGCGAGGAUUAAUGUUGGUCAAUGUAUCGCUACGUAUGUUGCACUUGAAGAAGCAGCAGUGGUAUGUGCGUCCAUUCGUCAAAGCACUCCAGAAUGUCUUACGGUGAGCCAACUUCGUACAUAACCAUCAUAUUCUCUUCACCUCAGAAAGUUGUUUAGAGUCGAACUCUUGCUGGAGGUAUUGCAGAAUGUUCAUGUGCGUUUUAGUUGCAGUGUUUAUUCGCAAUGUUAAUCUUCUCGCUUUCAGUUGUAAUUUGUAGCCAAGUUUGAACAAUUAAUCAAGGUUACUUACUGAAUCUCGUUUUGCAGAACAACUACUUUGGGACAACAAUUUUUCAAGUCGGUUGCCAAACCUGAAGCCGUGAAGAAGAUCCUUCGUGAGGUUCGACAUUUCAUUACUCUUUAGGCUUCAAAGCAGUUACUAAGUUACAUUUUUCACAUUUAGUAUUUCACCUGUGCUGCCUUGCAAGCUCUCUUGGUUACGGCCCGAGCGUGUUGAUCUCCACGCUCACCCACGAGUAAUAUCGGGUGGAGGUGUAUGGAGAAAGCCUGCUCCUUGUGUUUGUGAAUGUGUGUGCAUGUUUAGAGAGACUUAAAAGUAAUUUGAGGUUAAAGAAAUCUAAUUUGAGUCAAUUAUUGAAUAGCUGAAUGAAAAGAGUUGUGCAACUAUUAUCAUCUGUGAGUGAGCGUGAGGUUAGUUCUUCCCAGAUUUAGUUUCCAACUCUUUGUGCUUAUUUAAGGUGUGCUCGGGCACAAUAAUAUUGCACUUGUGGAGUGCAGUGUUAUCACGAUGACAGCGCUGUCACGGAUGAGUUAGUAGAAAAAAUCCUGACACCGGGACUUCAACCAGGAGCAGUCGAUGUCUUCUUAGAUUUCAUCUGCUAUUCUGGUGGCCCUCUUCCUGAAGAAAUGCUACCUCAAGUGAAGGUGAACAUCAACUCCAGUUUUCCAAUAUUAUUAAGAGCGGUUUUCUCUUCACAGUGGAGAGGUUAAAUUUUAGUCUGCUGUUUAAAAAUGCGCUAAGCAUGUCAGGUUUACUAAUGCUAAUCGCAGGUGAUAUUCUGUCACUUGGAGCAACAAUAAUCCGUGUUGGAUUCCGAAUAUAUUUACUAACCCGCAUUAUAAUUCUCUAUUUUCUCAUGUAGUCCGUAACGUUUAGUCAGCUUGAGAAUAUUCAGAGCCUAUGCCUUCUCUUCGGUAUCACUUACCUGGAGGGGGUAAUCAUUGAUCUUGGGUGUCGAAGACCUAGGUAGCUUUCUCCAUUUUACUUCGAAACGGGUGAUUAUAGCAACUCUCUGCGGAUGGCAUGCAUGUCAUAAUCCGCGGUUGCUGGAUCUAACAUUUCCAUGACCUCCACCAUCGUGACACUAAACUGGAAACCUUAACCGUCAGUUAUUGGAUAACUAUAUUAGUCCGUAAUGCCCAAUUAUUUUGGCUUAUCUUAGGGGUGUCUGUCUUCGAAGUAAAGUCUUCAGUGUUGAUGAUGUGCAGGUCCCGGUGGUGAUUGCAUGGGGAGAAAAGGAUCCUUGGGAACCAAUUGCUUUGGGGAAGGCUUACGGUGAGUUCGACACAGUGGAGGACUUCAUUGUACUUCCCAACGUCGGACAUUGCCCACAGGUUCAAUACCCUCGUUUUCCCAACCUCUUUAUUCAAAAAGACAAUUUUAAAAGAUUUCUUUUGGUUUUCGCAAGUAUUAUGUUUGGAGAACAUGAGCCUGAAUUCUGAAGUUGUAUUGCAUUUUAUGGAAGGGGACUGUGGAGUGUUGAAGGAGAGAGUAAAACAGGCUCUCAAAAAGCAGCACUAGCGCAUCUUCAAAUGCUAGUGUUGAUUAUGGAAAAUUGCACACAUGUACAUCUCCUCACCUUGAAUGAAUGGUGACGCAGGAUGAAGCUCCUCAUCUGGUGAACCCGCUAAUAGAGAAGUUUGUAGCUCGUCAUUCAGGAGCGUAACUCACAGAUUGAGUGCGUGGUUCGGAGUUGCAUCUUUGUUGUGCGAUCCUUCAUUUAGUCGGUUCCAGCAUGAUAAUUUCCGUGCUCAUCGUGUAUCCUACAGAUUCUUCGUCUGACAUUCUUUAACUCAACGAAAUACCUGUAUCACAAACCUUUGAUUGCCUUCGCGUAGGAAUUUUCUUCCUUUAUUAUUGAUCUCAAACCUUGGAAACGAGUGCAUUUGCAUUGAGCUAAUGCUGAAUGUAUUGAGUGAAUGUUCCUCUAUUGUGAAACUUGUAACAUUAUGACAAUCAAUGCAUUGAAUCAAAGUAAUAAUUUUAAUCUGUUUUGUCUAUAUUUUAUGUACGUUUUAUUUAUUUAUUUAUCUUCCUUUUUAUGUUUACGGAAUAGUAGUACUCAUUUGUUUUGUGGAUGGAAAAAUGUUUCAACAAUGAUGCAUUUAGUCUACAAACGGUAAUGGCCAUGAUUGAAUUUCAGGAACUUUUUCAUGCAUGUAGUUAAGGGUUCAUAGUUAUUUUAUUCAAUAGAGUUGUAAGAUAAGAGAUCGGGAAAGUACUGACACAUAGAUAAUUCAGGAAUAAGUUUUUCUACGUAUAGUGUUUGUUAUUUUGAGUGUUACAUACUUUCUAUAAUAGAUGUAGAUGAUCUACUUGAAUAUGCAGACGUCCGCGAGUGAUUCAUAAUCAAUUUAUAGUGUCAGUUUUCAUCGAAUUUGUUAGCAAAUAUAGUGUUAAUGAACGGAAACUGCAGAAAUGUAAUUAAAUUAUACCAGAAAUUAUUUGCAGUACUGAGCUUAAGGUGAUUGUCUCUUUACUCAUUAUUAUUGAUCAAGAAGAAGCAUGUUUACUGUAGGUGACUGCGGCGUCAAUGUAAACAGCAACUACCCAUUUCACAAGUGUGCGAUUCUAUCUAUCUGCCUAAUAAAUGUGACAGGGAAUUUUUCCAAAAUCUCUCCACACAAGAACUCGGGAAGAGAAUCAGCCUUUGCAAUUAAUUUGAGCAGAAGAGAAGAAUCUUCUGAAAUGAAAAAUGCUUCAAAGCAAUGAAUAUUAGACGGAUGGUGUGGGCGGGGGACUACGGUCCUCACCACCAAGAAUGUGCAAAUUGUUUAGCAAUAACAAAAUUAUGUGUAUCCACAGGUUUAGAGACUGUAUGCACUAUCUAUAAUCUAGACUCGAUCCACAUAACCAUAUACUCUCUGUUCCGAAGGAAUUGGUAAACUGAUCAGCUUUGCGGCAACCAGGACAGGAAUUAAUCCAUUGGUGACCAGGGAUUAAUCGCAUGCUGACCGCACUCAACGUCGUUGAUUUGGUAUCAGGAUAUGUUGCAUUCAACUGUCCAGAGAAGCGGUGUUCAAGAGCUCCAUAGCCGAAGCGCCGUAAGCUUGCAUUUGUGAGCGAGUAUACACAGGUUGAGGGUAUAUAAGAGAGAUGGAAAGGUUGUUGCCCUCGCAGAAGGCCUCGCUGACUGCAAAGCAAGGACCAACUCCGUGCAUUGAGGGGAAUGGUCCAGCCACCGCAGCCACCUGCAAUCUCUGGUACUCCUUGUAAAGUUGCAACGGAGCUUCGUCCACAAACAAGGAGAAUAGUGCAGUUCGCAUGGACGAUUGCGGAGUCAAAUUGGGAUGCUUCAGCACCUGCACAUCAUGAAAACAGUUCUUAGACGCAUUUAUUUGAUGAGAAGAAUCCUUUGUGGUGAAAUAUCCAUUCUCAGUGUGCGGAGCAGAUAAGAGUCUGGUCAAACCUGAGAGAAGAGCAUGUUAAGAACAGGGAUCUCCGAAAACUGUUUGCUCUUAGACAGCUCUUUGGCAGUGGAAGCUGACACGCUUCGCGCUAGGUCCCAAAAAGAGACCCCUUCUUUUACCUGUUGACCUUGAGGAACACCAGCCACAAAGUUGCCUAUUGUAUCGGCGGAAAGACUUGGCUCGAAGUACUUCCGACAAUCUACCAAACUGCGCAAGAUCAUUUCGUGUUAUGAAGACGCAUGGAGGCAACCUACAUUAACAACCCUAAUCAAGUACAAGCAUGUGCUUAUUAUCGGCUUUUGCCACUCUGUUAAGAGAAUCUUCAACAUGCGUUUGAAGAAAAAUGCGAUUAAAAUUACAUAUUAUUGAUAGAGGAGCUGAACUCCUAACGCACACACCUUGUGAAGGAGAAUUCGUCCUUUUUCUUGUCCUUGAGCUCUUUCACGUUCGCUGCUGUCUUCAAAAAGGCUGCGCCCAGUGCUGCUGCCAGAGUUGUCUUCUCCUUUUUGCAUGCUUCGAGAAGUCUCGCAGUUUCUAGUCAAAAGAGAGAAAUAAAUAACUAGAUGUGGCCAUUGCAUAAAGUUUUAGGCUGCACACAUGGAAGCUAAUACAGGUAACAUACGGACGAGCCACGGUAGAAACGUCCAGGCACAGAAUCACUGAAGCUUUUAACAAAAUAGUGUAACAUACCUACUGUACCGAGGGAGUAUGUCAAGAUAUCGGACUUGAACUUUUCCUUCUUCUGCUCGCCAAAGCUAGGCUGGAAUGGCAGGAGAGUGUACUUGUUCGCACUCAAGGCGUAGCCCACUGUGUCGAAACCUUUCUGGAAAAUGUUCUUGGACGAUUUUCCCUUCGGCACCAGUUCUUCAAUUGUCGGCAAGAUAGCAUCCUUGCCGUGAUUUAGUGGAAGACCAACCGUUUGACCAUCAACAAUGGCAUUCAGUGCGGUCAAGAAUUGACGCGAAGCUAUGUAAGCAGAUGGCCUGUCAAGACCUCCACUGUGGAACCGCAACACUAUAAUGGUAUGUGAACGGGAUGUCUCGGUGUACAUGUGAACCUGCCAAGCGUAAGAUAUCAGCAGCAAUUUCACCGUCUUACAAGACAAACAUCACCUCAUCAGAGUAACAACACCCAACACAAUAUCAGGAUCCACUCAGCAACGAGUAAGGCGACUCUGAAGUGCAGUGUGCUUACUUGAAAAAAGUCCAAAGGAGGACUAGGGUUGUUUUCAGAGUUCACGAAAGGGAUAUUGAGCUCAUCGCGAACCACUUUGUUGACAGCGUCAGCGAGACCAUCAUCGUCACCCUCAAUGGUUACAUCACCCGCUUCACAGCUGGAGGAAGUCUGAGGCCAAGGGCAAAUCUCUAGACAAGGUGCGACCGAGUCAUUCUUCACGAGAAUCGCGAGCUUUCCCUUUGCGUUUUCGACUGCCUGGGCCCUCAGCAUUGCGUGCUGAUACAUGACCUCACGACAUGCUUGAGCAACAUGGUGCGACUCCACCAAACGCCGCAUCGCAAUAGUCAUCACAGCUAUUCCAGUUCCUAGUGCUGUGGCCUUGGUCCAGUUUUCUUCUGAUGGACCCAUCACUCUAGUGAGAGCAUCUCCAUUUGGAGCUUCUGGCGCCAUGGCCCUCUGAUGAGCUCAAACUCCCGGUUUUUAUGUAUCACCUGCAAUGCGACGCGAAGCUUAAGAAUACUGUUGUAGAACGCUAUUAUAGACAUCGAGCUACUCCAUUAAUCCUCUGCACUCUCAGCAUUCAAGGUACCUUAACUCAAAGGCAUCCUAGUUGCAAUAGAGUAAAGCUUCAAAAACAUAUCUCAUGACGCAUCAUUUCCAGGUUCAAGACAAGAAGGUGUUUAUCGAAGCCACGGAGUAUCACAAAACUCAGACGGACUUAACGCCCAAUAGAAAGCUACCCGAACCAAAAAUUAAAAACAGGUGGAUCCGAAGGCACUGGUCCAGUGAAGAGCUAUGUACAGUUGCGUGAGAUAAAAUGGAAUACCUCCGAUGCUACUGAUUCAGCUAUUUCAGCUGGUUUGAACUAGCUGCAGCACACAACCAGACUCACACCGAACUACUCCACCGUAGCGUCAGCGGCGACGCAAGCAUGGAGAAUACAACCCUAGUCUCACGACGCCCACCACGGAGAGGACGACGAGCCUCAACCCUGCAAAGGUCAACGUACCACAGCACUAUCAACCCACCAACCGGCACAUAAUCACCUCACCUCAUCUGGCCAGCCCUGCACCCCUAAUAGCUUCAUCUCCCAGUCGGACACCACCUGAGUAGAAACUGACAUGUACCGAAGUGUACAUUUAUACAAACAUAGACAUUCACACACACACUCACAUACACAUUACAUUUCUCUCGAGACAUGCAGCAGAAUCCAGCUAGCCCAGCUCUCGACUCCUCCUCACUACAACGCCACUUGACCCAUCACUCUCCCGCAGUCCACGACACAACCAACAUCGGUAUACAAAUCCCUAGCAGAUUCAAAAUCACUGCAAUCAAGCCGCACCGCCAGUACACAUUCUGAGACGAAAUCCAUCAGCAGCCUCAAGUGGCACCCUGUCGAUACAAGAGCCGGAAAAAAAAAAAACGACAGGUGUGGGACGAGUUAGUUUACCGGCGAAGGAAGGGCAGCAACCUGGCAACCUGGACGUGUACAGCACCAGCCUGAACGUGGAACAGCAGCUGCAGACAUGGGUAGAUGGAAGGUGGAGGAAUGAGAAGUGGAACCAGCAGUGACUGCAAGGGCCGCUGCCGCUGAUCGUUUAUAUGGGAGACUGGUGAUGGCGGUGGAAAUCGGACGCGGUGCGUGAAUCUUUACUGCAGCACUACCUAACGCGGUGGCAGAACCAUUAAGUACGCUGUGAGAGAGUGGGUAGCGCGCAUUAACUAAGCCGGCUCUUCAUUCUUCCCCCUUCUGUAAAGCUCUUCACACCAUACCCAUAACCACACUGACGUCUCUCUGCCCACCACCUCCCUGCCCUGCCUGCCUCUCUCCAUGGCUGCACAUCAACGCUUCACCCUUAACGUGCUGCCGCGAUGCGGUACCUACCGUGACCUGAGCUUGAGCCUGAGCGUGAGCCUGCACACUAGUCACGGAGCUCAUGGUGCCCCACUCGCCCUCGAUGUUGUUCUUGUUGUGUUAUUCUUCGUCUUAUUCAAACAAUGUGGGUUUGUUGUUGUUGUUGUUGUUGUUGCUGUUGAUGCCUGCCUCAUUCUGGAAUCAGUGCAUAGUGUUGCAAGUGAUGGCAGGCAGCUUGUUGAUGUUGUUGUUUUGACACGAGAUUGGAUUCCAUGAAGGGUUGGUUGACAGCGUUGUUGGAAUGCUGUGAGAUGUCAUGGUGUCUAUGUCGAGGUGAAUUUAUAUUACAAAACACACUGACAACUUCAUGACGUUUUUGUUUUUGGAGAGGGUUUUUAUUACGUUAAGAAUUGUGUAGGAAUGGUUUUGGUAGAGAGAAAAUUAGGAGUAAAUGAGUGUGACAUCUUUUAGUUUGUUUUAGUUGGAUAUCAAAUUUAUAAGUAUCUGUAGUGGUUUGAAAUGUUUUGAGCUAUGUUUAUUCGAUUUCUAUCAGAUGUAUUACAAGUUUAGUUAUAGAAACUUGUGAAUUUUGUAACAAAUUCUAUUAAUAUUGAUGCCUAAGGGCUUAAAAAAUUGCAUCAGAUGGAAAGAUUCGAAGCUUUUAUAGCGAGGUAACAUGACUCAUGCAUACGAGUUAAACAAUAAAUUAAUUUUUAAUAUGAACUUUCAUAUUUUUAGCUUUCAGAAAUCUGUAAACAUUAGUUUGGCAUUCUUUUGUAACAUUUAAAGCAAUUAGGCACAAAAAGAGUUAAUUUGUUGGCAAUCUACAUCUUGUAGACAUCCAAUAUUUUCCAAUAAAUUUCGUAAUGCUAUUCUUAAAUCUAAAACCUCUACAACAUCAAUUUUUAUUUAUUUUUGUGACAAAUAAACAAUAAAUAAUGAAAUUUUAAAAAAAUCUCAUUUAGCUACUAAACACAAUUUAUCUUUAAUAACAUUUUGCAACAAAUAGUUUUCAUUCAAAAUUAUUCAAUGUUGAUAGCGUAGAAUCUUUUUUAUUGUUACAUGAGUGUUUUUAAAAAUUUGAUCACUAAUCAUAACAAAUCUCAAGUAAAAAUAAUGAUUCGUUCUAUAUAAUUAAGAAUAAAAUUAAACUAAUAACAUAUAAUUCAUUAAAGAUACUUUUGAUCCAGACUCAUCAUAAUCAUUCCUUGAGUCUCUCAUAAAAUGGCAGAAUUGUUUAGAAGCACCAAUCAGUAACAGAACAAUAUAUCUUAAAAAUGUUAUGAUUAAUUUUUUUUCUUAUUUAUCUUAAUUUUUAAAAAAUAAAGGUAACCAUCUUAAAUAAAUGCAUAUUAUAUAGAUACAAAUAAAAAUUCAUCAUUUAUUUUUUUCUUUAAUAAAUUAAGAGAUAAAGUAUUUAAGAUGUUUCAUAAAAUUUAUAAUAAUAUAUUUUUAUUAAAAUUUAAAAUUUUUAAAACACCAUAGAUCUCAAAAAAAUUAUGCAUAUAAAAAUCAAGAAUGAUUCGUUGUAUACUUUAUUGAAGAGUUUAUAAUUUAGAAUUUAAAUUAUCUCUAAUAGAGAUUGUUGUGAAGUAAUUUUAAAGUACACUAUAAUUAUAAAUCGGUCAUAUAUCAUAAAUCAUAUAUAUAUAUAUAUAUAUAUAUAAAGAUAAAUAUAAGUUAAAAUUAUUAUUAGAUAUAAAUAUUAAAAUAAAGCAACAAUUUCAAGUUGCAUGACAAUAAAGUACACAUGUAUGAAUUAAUGUUUGUUGCACUAACAUAUUUAGUAUUUUCGUUUUUUCAACAUCAUAAAGUAUUAAUAAUUUGUAUAAAUGUUUUAUGCAUUGCAUUAAGAUAGAAAGAAAGCUUAGUGGGAUAAAGAAAAUUCUUUAAAAGGCUAGGACUCUAUGUAUAUUUCAAGAAAAGCCUUUGUAAAAUUGAACUUGAUCUGGCAAGUAUAAUAUAAAAGUGUGCAUAUUUUGUUUUUUGUUUUUUUUUUUUUUUUGUUUUUUUUUUUUUUUCUAAAUUUUCUUUCUAAUUAUUAUUAUUUAUACAUGUGAUUAUUUAUUUAUUUUUUGAUUCUAUGUGUAUUUUAUUUUUCAUUGUUUCAUUCAAUAUUUUUGUGGUAUUGAUGAAAUAUAAUAGUAUUACUUUGAUUUCAUUAUUUCAAAAACAUAAUUAUUCAAUUAUAUAAUUAUUAAAAUUAUCUUGAAAUUUCAAACAUAAUAAUAAAAUAUGACAGUGAAAUUCUUUAUUAAAUUUUUAUUUGUAUUAUACUAUAUAUUAUAACACAUCCUUAAUUUUCUUUAAUAUAUUAUUCAUAAAAAAAAGGUCUUCAAUACUUGUAUGUAUAUAUAUGUGUUUAUAUGUAUUUAUAUUUAGUUUUAAAAUAUCCUUAUUUAGGUAUUAUAAUUCAAAAUAUUUAUAAAUUAAAUACGUAGUUUGAUAUAUAAUCUAAAUUAACUAAACAAAAAGAAUUAGUAUCAAUGAAUUAUAUUCAUUGUUUUAUUUCUACCAAAGCCCUACAAUUAAGAAGUAAAAAAAUUAUUGUUCAUAUCUCUAGUUCUUUGAAAGUCCUUAAUCAUUAAAGAAAAAGAAUCUUAUUGGUCAACAUGUAAUUCAAAAUAAAAAGAAAUUUAUUCUUGUCAACUUGAUGGAUAUUUGUAAUAAUUCAAAUUGAUGAAUUGUUAAUAAUUUGACUAAAUGAGGACGCAUUGCUAAUAAUUUUAAAAGUAAAUAAAUAUUAUAAAUGAUUCAUAUUAUAUAAAAUAUUUUUUCAUAAUAAAAAAUCAUGUUAAAUAAUUAUUUAAAAAAAUCCUUAAAAUCAUGCUUAAUAUUCAGUUAAAGAAUGCAGAAAUAUAAUUAUUUGUAAUAAAAUUAGUUCUUAAGAACCAAAUUUAAAGAUUGUUAACUAGCAUGGUAAACCAAGUCCAAACAUUGAAAGGUAGAUUAGAAAUACUCACCAAAGUAAGUGUAGAAUAGAUAUUAAUUCGUUUUUGAAAGAUAUUGGUAAAAUAUAUUAAUAGUCCAUAUAAUAGGAAAUUCAAGAGGAUGGAUGAGUGAUUUAGUUCUUAAAAGUAGUUAAUUAUAGAAUUACGGUUAGAAUCUAGAGAAUCAGGAGAAAGUAUAUAGGAGUUGUAGAAGUUAAUUAAGAUGCCAAACUGUGAGAGUCGUAAGCCGAGUGCCAGACUGUGAUAGUCAUGAGCCGAGGACCAUCACUGUGAUAGUGUGAACCGGGGUAAGCUUGGUGCUACCUCUUUUCUUUUGUUUGUUAUUUUCUUUGAAUAAGAGGAUUGAAAGUUUCUGAAUAUUGUGAAGUGAAUUAUGGAAUGGAAAUGUGAUUGGUAUUAUUUGAAAAGAAGAAAGAUUGAAUGCUGAAAUCUGAUUGUAGUUCAGCAGAGAGAAUGAGUCUGUGUUUGUGUGAAACAUUGUAAUGUGAAUGGCAAUUCUGUGUGAAGAAUUCUAGUGAUUGGAAUGAGGGUAAUUGUCUGCUGAAAGUUGUGAGGGUGCAGUAUUACAGUUGGAGAUUAUCAGGGUGAAUAUAUUGGUAGAAAUAGCAGUUAUUGGUAUGACUGAAUUGCUGUAAGGAAGAGACUGAUAAGGUGAAGGAGGAGAUUAUAGUUUCUUUGUGUGUUCAGAUAUUAGAAGUAGAGAUGAUACAUUCAGGAGGUAAUUGAUUGUAUGACCCUAACGUGAACGCUUAAGCAACUAGUCAUUUCCCGUGUUCAAAUCUCCCUAUACGGAUUUAUUCUAGGAGGUUUCUUUCAAAAUAAGUAAAACAAGCAAUCACAUUUUGGCGCCACUACUGGAGAGUGAUAAUAGCUUUGAGUGUUAGGAAUUAAUUACCAAACGUGUGAGAAAAUUGGCAAUGGAAGAUGAUUUCAGUAGUGUUUGAAGCAAGAUUAUGGUUAAUAAGAACGAGAGCAUUGCAUCAAGGAAAAUAAAUCAGUUGAGAGAAAGACAGGGAAGAGCACAAGGAAGGAACUUGCUUAGAGAGGAGCAAGAACAUAAUCUUAAAAGGAAGCAUGGACAUAAUUGGAUUAAAUCAUAGUUACAAGCUUGUCAGCGUAUCCAAAGAUAUCAAGAACCGGACAGACUGUUAAUUCUACAAUCGUAUGUACUAUUAGAAAAACUACCAAGAACACUUGCGAGAAAUUUUGUUAACAUUUCAGUGGAAAUCUUGAGGCCGUUAACUGAAAGAGAAGGAGGCGUAGAAGAAUUUGGUACUCCAUUGGGUAUUUUUUUAGUAGGGGGUACCGCUGAAACGAGUAAUAGUGGCUCUUCAGAUUGGCACAAAUUGGUCGCCAAUAAAGAUAACUAUGUUGUAUUUCAAAAUCUGACGUUUUCACCUGCAAUUCAACCAAUAAAACUAUUUGCAAAAAAUAACAGUAAAUCGAGGAGCACUGAGAGCUCAAAAAUUAGAAUAAGGGAAAGAAGAGAUUAUUUUAAAAUGGAGUUUAGCGGAACAAGAAAUUCAAUGGCGUCAGGAGGACCAGCUGUUCCGAUUGCAGUACAAAUGGGUGCAGUAGGUGAUCGUACAACUAGUGUCGCGCCAUUACCUACUUUUUGGGGUUUGUCAGGUACAGAUUUAUAUCAACAUUUGUCUCAAUUCUUGAUGGCGUGUGUAGCCAAUAAUGGAAGAACAGAAGACAUUUGGUUAAGAUGGCUGCCAGCGACAUUGAAAGACACAGCGUUUGAUUGAUAUAACCGCCAACCUGUGGGACAAUUUAUCAAUUGGGAGGCAUUGAAAAAUAAAUUUUUAGUCCAUUUUUGACCAAUUGGUUUUGAAGAACAUCUUAGAGAAAAAUUAAUGACCAGCAGAAUAGUACCAGAGGAAGCGGUACAGUCAUAUUAUGGUCGUGUAGCAGAUAUACUUCGAAAAUGGCCAAAUAACCAAAUGUCAGAAUCGUUUGUGUUGUCCAUAUUGGUUAAUGGACUACACCCACCAGAAUUGAAGAUAUUUGUAAAGGAGGCCCAAUUAGCCACCAUAGCAUUAUUUCUUGAGCAAGCGAAAGUAUGAGAGGAAUGUCACUAUGACCAGAACUUAACAGUUGGAGCUAGGAUGAUUCCAUCUCAAGGAGGUUAUCAAAUAACAAAUUGGAAUGAUACAUAGGAAAGUUAUAUGGGAAGGAAUGAUUAUGGUACAAUUCCACAGGGAAUAGUGGAUGCCGUUCCAUUGCAAGCUGUACCACCAUCAUCAUCACACUCGUAUGCGCCUUAUUCCGCAUAUCAAAAACCAACACCUACGAAGGAAUUGCCAAAUGCAUUGGUAUCAAGGGAUCCCAAUGAGUCAUUGCUAUUAACAUUGACGAAAAAAAUGGAUGAAUUGGCUAUGAAUUUGACCAAAGAUAAAGAAAAAAGGUAUAAACCAACCAAUAUGUAUUCCAAUGUCUGGUGCAGCAAUUGUAAGGGGCAAGGUCAUUUAGUAACAGAAUGUCCUUCACCUCUCCAAAUGACUGUACAAUGUACAUUUUGCGGGGGCAAGCAUAUUACCACCAAUUAUUGGAAUUUACGGAAGCAACAAUAACUCAGUAACCACAUAAUGACUCAACCAACUUCGUGGGAUGUCAAUUAAGUACAAACGAAUAAUAGGUUUGGUUGGAAUGGAAAUUGAGCGAAUAAACAAAGCAAGAAUUAUUCUGAUUUUCUAAACUCUGAAUUUCACCAAGAAGGUGUAUCGAAUACUCAUGGAUUGGCAAUGAACCAACCAAGAUACCAUCAAUAUCCACCUAUGAUGAAUCCAAUGUCAGACUCUACAAUAACAAUGGGUCAACCAGGAUCCUUUACUCAUCCGACAUGGGAUAGACCUAGCCGUUAUAUACCAGUAGAGACACCUAUUAUCCUUGAAGGAGUUGGCAAGAGACCACUUCAUUGCUAUUUUUGUAGACAAAUCAGACAUUAUGCAAAUGAAUGUCCUAAUCCAAGGGCCAGUGAUGACUAUGCUCUAAUAUGUGGAAAUUGUAAGCAGUCUGGUCACACUUAUCAGCAGUGCAGUGCGCCCUUUAAUUAUAAUAAUCGAGACCAGCAAAUACAAAUAAGCCAACCGGCGGAGGACAAAGAUUCUGUUCAACGAGACGCACCAGUACAUUGUGUCGAGGUGGUGAACGCAGUGCUUACCAGAGGCCAACAAAAAGACACGAAUCUAAUUCAUGACAUAGAUGAACCAAUCGCAGGAGAGCAAGUAGCAUCGUCCACAUGGCUAAACGAACCAAUAUCAGUAUUGGGACGUAUCCCAAUAUUGAGACCUCAAUAGACGAAGGAACCCAAUUUGAUUCCACAUGCCAAUUUGUGAGGACCAUCCAAUUCAAGUCUUGUUACGGGCUCUGUACCCAGUAUGAGACCUGAAUUAGUGGCAGAACCAAAUGAGGUCCCAAUUACGGAGGCUUUGGUUCCAUUACAAGAAGUUUCAAUCUCUACGUAGUUCCGAGAAAUAUCCUACCCGUUGAAAGAUCCUCUCGAGGGCGGGAAUUCCAAGGAAGCCCUGGCUGCUAUUCCAAUUUCGAGUCCAGGGCGGAAGAAUAUCUUACCUCAUGGAGUAAAAUUGAAACCAAUGAAAUGCAAAAGAGCAUUGGGAAUUACUCUCAAUAUGGAACCUUACAACAUUCUGAAGGAUUUGGAUGUUAUUCAGCCUUUAAUUACAAUGAAGCAACUUUUGGCUGUAGCACCAGAAUGUCGAUUCAUAUUGAAUUUAGUGUUAAUAUGAUGAAGAUCCAGUACUAAAGAAAUUCAUGAAAUUAGCUUAAACCUAGAUCCGGGAGCACCAACAAUUGAUGUAUCAAUCGAUGGCGUUUUAAUUCCAGGGAUACAAGUUGAUGGUGGCUCUAGUGUGAAUUUAAUGAAUGCAGAUACAAUGGAGGACUUGGAUCUAAAGCAAUUGCUACCUACGACAUUGGUCUUGCAAAUGGGAGAUCAUAGUUGGGUAAAGCCAAUGGAAAUCUGAGGCAAUAUUGCCAUUGUAAUCGUGGGAUUGACAUACAAAAUCGAUUAUAUUGUAUUUCGAUUACAGAGUUUUAUGUUAUCAUAUUCCAUUUUAUUGGGCAGACCUUGGCUUUAUCAAGCCAAAGCCAAGAACGAUUGGGGCCGAGGCACAUUGACAAUUGGAAAAGGCCGGGACCAGAUUGUUCUACAGAUGUAUCCGGUACAAUAUCAUGGAGAAUCUCAAUUGCCAGAAGCAGAAUUUACAUCACACAAUGAGAGUCAAUCGAUUGAGGCAGAUGAUGAUGCUAUAGGUUCACCGCAAUUUGGGGUAGGACAAAACACUUCAACAGCAAAGGCAGGAGUCUACCAAUGUGGAAGUUCCGGUGAAUAUUUACUGCAUCAGGAGGAUGUGAUUAACUCGCAUCAUGCUAUUGUCGAAUGGAUGAACAAUCCCGCAGUCAAUAGAGUCAGCACAUUGGAACCAGAUUUGGAUGGUUCCCAUAUGUCGGAUAAUACAAGAUAUUCAGAUCAAGAGAAGACAAUUAAAUUAGAGGUUGUUGAAGACCCUAUGUGUCAAUCUAUUAACUUGGGCACCAACAAAAUGCCACAACUAAUUAAAAUAUAUGUAGAUAUUAUCGGUACAGAAUUGGAUGCUUGAAAAUAGUUUUUUGUUCAUCACAAAUCUGCUUUUGCAUGGUCGUAUGCGGAUUUGAAAGAGAUUCCAGCUGACAUGUGUGAGCACCAGAUUAUUCUGGAGGAGGGUGUUACGCCAGUUUGUCAAAGACAACAUUGGCUUAAUCCAAAAUAUUCUCUUUUAGUGAAAGAGAAAUUAGAUAAACUUCUCGACAUGGAUUUUAUUUAUCCUAUUCCGCAUAGUGCAUGGGUGUCGCCAAUCGUGAUGGUACCAAAGAAGAAUGGAAAAAUCAAGAUAUGUCAAGAUUUUUGAAAGUUAAAUGCGGCCACUAAGAAAGAUUACUUUUCAUUACCUUUCACGGAUAGUAUGGGUAACAUAUUGUCAUUAUCACCAAGUAGUAAAAGAAUAGGAGUGGGGCACCAAUUAAAGUCAUUCUGUGGUGUUGUUUUGGAUUGGCUGGAGUACCAUUUUCUUGUAUUUCUUGUGUUUUCGAGAAUAGUAGUUCCAAAUAAAAGUUAACAAUGAGGAGCCAGUCACAAGUGUCGAUUGAAGAUGUUCCAGAAUGGAUGAGAUAGCAGCAACAACAAUUGGAAUUGAGAGAUGCCCAGAUCUUGAAAUUGGAAGCUUAAAUCUGUAAACUGGGCGAGUACAAUGAAGACCUUUCAACUCAGUUGAGGCAGGAGCCGAUGGAAGGAUUGGAGGAAGAAGAAGAAGAUUUGCAGUUGGAACCGGAAUCAGUGGAACCAAUAACAGAUACUGCGGCAAUUGAUUAAUUAGAUAGGCCAGAGGGAUCGCAAUUUUUGUGGAGAUUUAUUAGAUAAUUUUUAGAUAGGUAUCAAUUGAAUGUUUGCGAGGACGCUGCACAGAUAGGAGUGGGGCUAUGUAGAAUAGAUAUUAAUUCAUUUUUGAAAGGUAUUAGUAAAAUAUAUUAAUAGUCCAUAUAAUAGGAAAUUCAAGAGGAUGGAUGAGUGAUUUAGUUCUUAAAAGUAGUUAAUUACAGAAUUACGAUUAGAAUCUAGAGAAUCAGGAGAAAGUAUAUAGGAGUUGUAGAAGUUAAUUAAGAUGCCAGACUGUGAGAGUCGUAAGCCGAGUGCCAGACUGUGAUAGUCAUGAGCCGAGGACCAUCACUGUGAUAGUGUGAACCGGGGUAAGCUUGAUGCUACCUCUUUUCUUUUGUUUGUUAUUUUCUUUGAAUAAGAGGAUUGAAAGUUUCUGAAUAUUGUGAAGUGAAUUAUGGAAUGGAAAUGUGAUUGGUAUUAUUUGAAAAGAAGAAAGAUUGAAUGCUGAAAUCUGAUUGUAGUUCAGCAGAGAGAAUGAGUCUGUGUUUGUGUGAAACAUUGUAAUGUGAAUGGCAGUUCUGUGUGAAGAAUUCUAGUGAUUGGAAUGAGGGUAAUUGUCUGCUGAAAGUUGUGAGGGUGCAGUAUUACAGUUGGAGAUUAUCAGGGUGAAUAUAUUGGUAGAAAUAGCAGUUAUUGGUAUGACUGAAUUGCUGUAAGGAAGAGACCGAUAAGAUGAAGGAGGAGAUUAUAGUUUCUUUGUAUGUUCAGAUAUUAGAAGUAGAGACGAUACAUUCAGGAGGUAAUUGAUUGUAUGACCCUAACAUGAAUGCUUAAGCAACUAGUCAUUUUCCGUAUUCGAACCCCCUUAUACGGGUUUAUUUUAGGAGGUUUCUUCCAAAAUAAGUAAAACGAGUAAUCACAGUAAGAAUUAAACAUUUUGGGAUCCGAGAUGGAACAAAUUUGAUUAACUAUUCAUAUAAAGAUAACUAAAAGUUUUUAAUUAAUUAAAAUAAUAUAAGUAACUACAAAGGCCAUAGGAUUAUGAGAGCACAUGCAUAUGCAAAGAACACAAGAAAAAUCAAAUAAUAUCAAAUAUUCUAUGCAAAGAUAUUUUUAUUUUUAUUUUUAUUGAUAUAAUUUUUUUCUUUAAAUAAUUAUUAAUUCCAUACCAUUUCUUUGAAGUUAUUAAUUUAUCUCUUAUAUAUAUUUAUUUUAUUUUAUUUCAUCUAAGCUCAUUUCUUGCCACCUUUCUGAAGUUAAGUUGUAUGUAGUCAAACUUAACUAAUAAAUAAUGUAAAACUCCUUAAAACAAGAAUUUUGUCUAUAACUUGCCAACUCAACACAAAAGGCCGUUUCUAGAUUGAUAUUCAAUAAGACAAAUUAUUAUUCAAUUUUGAUUUAAAGCUACAACACAUCUUUUCUAAUUUAAUGCUUACUCAAGAAAGAAGUCAUCUACAUGGUAAGUUGUUGUCAAGGACAAGAACUUGAUAAAAAUAAAUAAACAAGUGAGACUUUUCUCAAAGAAAGAUGAAAAAUACAAAUGAUUUAAUAUAUAUAUUAAAAAAGAAACUAGAAUGGCUAUUGCUAAAAGACAAGAAAACUAGAGAUCCUUGAAACUACACUACUUUUACUUACUUCUAUUUAUUUAUACAUGUAAUUACUGGCUUACAUGCAUAUGUCCAUGACAUUAUCCACUCUUCUAGGGACGAGUUCCAAGAGGAGCGAUCAUCAUAUGUUGAAGAAAUCUAUGAUGUUACAAAUUAUAUUUGCCACAUACUCUGAUCUUUGUUCUCUUUGAAGAUGAUUCAUAGGGCCUAUCAAUCAUUGAUAGUGUUCCAUACCAGAGUAGGAAGACCACCCAAUUAUUUGAUCGUUGUUGAAGAAUUCAUAACUUCUUUCAAAUAAAAUAUUUGGAACACCGCCAGGAGUUGUUCCUACCUCUAGUAAAAUCACCAAACAUCGAGAGUCCCUUCCAAGGUUGUGAUACCCAAUACGUUAUAUCUUGCCAUCUAUUCAAGGAAGAACAUGUUGUUCUCGAAGAUCUUUAUCUUGAUUGCAUCGUCUUGAAGGUUGUAACAAUUGUAAUAUUUCAUUCGGCAGGUCAACAAACAAAGGCUCUUGAGUCGAAUCUGCUAGUUGUUGAUUCUCCAUCUCCUCAGUAUCACAACUACAAAGAAGCUACAAACAAGGAUUGAAAGUAGAAUAUUAUCUUGUCUAGAUCUUAUUUCUUUUAUAAGGAAGGUUUUCAUCUUGAUUUUGAUGGAUGUUGUUGAUGAAAAGCCUCCACCGCCUUUCUUGCAUUUGUAAGAUUCUUUACUAGCUCCCAUGUGCGUUCACUAAUAUUAUAUCCGUACCAAUGGACAAGAUAUUUUAAUUUAUUUUGGCGUUGCCUUGAAUCUAAGACUUCUUCCACUUCGAACUCUUUAUUAUUGUCCACUUCUAUAGGAGGAGGUGGAACUUGUCUUCUUCUUAGUAUGUCCACUGUCUUGUAUGGUUUAAGAAAAAACAUGUGGAAUACUGGAUGGAUUUUCAUUGACUCCGAUAGGUUUAAACAAUAUGCAAAUAGGUUGAUUUGUACAGAAAUAGAUAAAUGGUCCAAGACUUUGAUAGUCCAACUUGUCACAAGGACAAGUGAUUUUGAUAUUGCGACAAAGUAAUCAUAUCUUGUCAUCCAAGUGGAAUGGUGGUUGUUCCUUUCGAUAGACAUCCGCAUUGACCUUUUGUUGUUCUUGAGCUUUUUUUAACUGCACCUUCAUUGUUGUAUGUAGCUUUGACAAAAGAAUUGCCAAAUCUUUUGCCGUAGGAUUAUUAACUUUUGAAAAGUCAAAAGUAUCAAGUCGUGGAUGAUAACCAUAAUUGACAAUGAAAGGUGUUUGUUUUGAAGAAGAAUGUACCGUGUUAUUGUAAGCAAACUCUGCCAAUGCCAAAAGAAUUAUCCAAUCAUCUUAUUGUUAGUUGAUGGUACAUCUUAAAUACUGCUCCAAAACUUAAUUAACACGCUUCGUUUGUCCAUUAGUUUGAGGAUGGAAUGUCAAAGAUAGUUUUAUAUCUACUUUUAGAAUCUUAAAAAGAUUCCUCCAAAAUCUUGAUACAAACUCAGUUCUCCUAUCUGAUAUAAUAUCCUUGGAUAAUCCAUGAUAGUGAUAGAUAUUGUUAAAAAAAAGCUUAGUUGUUUCUUCACAUGUGAAAGAUUUUUUACAUGGUAUAAAAUGUGCCAUCUUAGUAAAACGAUCUACUAUCACGAAUAUAGAGUCAUAAGAAUUUGAGAUUAGAAGAUCCGUGAUGAAAUCCAUAGAAACAGAAGAC
rnacentral:lncRNA from 1 species